UUUUUUUUUUUUUGGCAUCUAGCUUUUUAUGAAAACAUUAUAAUCAUCAUAUCUGGAUAAGGUGACUCUGAUGAGUUUAUGUAUCUUUUGAAUUCAAAAAUUUUUUCGUUAAAUAUGUAUUCAGAUUUUAAAAAGCUUUUUUUUUUAAAUCGUAAAAUUAGAAAGUAUAUGUUAAAUUUGAAAUGAUGACUCCUAUUUUGGAACAUCAAUAAAAUGAAAACAUAACAUUUAUAAUGAGAUAGAGGGAAUAUUUAGAGAUAAAAAAAGGUCCGUUCUGAAUUUGUGAAGGAUUAAGAUACAUUAUUAUUUUGCACGCGAGGGGUCAGAAUUUGACAUUAGUAAAAUGUGAGGGACGAUUGGUGUUGUUGUCCCUUAGUAAUAAUUGGUUUGAGAUAUAGAAAUUGCAAAAUUUUCACUUCACAUGGGAGCGAUGAGCAGAUUUUACACAAAUGGGUUUUUUUUUUUUUUACCGUGUUUUAUUCUUUUUUUAACAUUCCAUGACAAAUUCCUUAAUUUAAUUUUUUUUAAAAAAAUUUGGCCGGAUAAUUGCUGUGCAUAAUUCUUGUGUUAGUGUGUACACAUUUGUUACGACGUUCAUAUCUACCAAUGUUGUAAAUAUUUCUAUAAUUUUGUCGUGCUUUCCAACCUAAAUCUAGCACCGCACUUUUAAUAACCUAAUGCAUAAUACCUCUUUAAAGUUGCCAGAAAUUUUCUGGGAAACAUCUUGCUCUAUGUUGGAACCAUAACGGUUGCAGUAGGCUUGCUUGAUUGAAGAAAGUUGGCUAGAAGAUCGAGUGCACAGUGACUCAAUCACAACAUUGAGGUUCACCUUAUUCCCUCCAAACAAUGAAUCCCUCAUCAGCUCUGCAUCACGCUCUUGUGGCUCGUUUAUGCGAAGAUAAACCAUAUUCUGCAAUUUAUAAAUAGACAAAAAAAAAAGAUCGAAGAAUAAAACAUGGCAUAUACAAUAUCAUUAGCUACCAUUAGUAAUUUGUACCAGGGAAGAUUCUUACAGCAAAAGCAUCGUUUCUUCGAACGUUAGAUAAAGCAUGAAGAAUAUCUUGGUUAUAGACAGCUGAAUACGUUUGCCGAAUAAGUUCCAUUUCUUGCAUGGUUCGACUUGUGAGGAUCUCCACGAGCUUUCGUUUAAGUGCACAAUUGCCUGCAAAGUACGAAACCUUCUUAGUUACAUUUUUCUGUUUUUCAAUGAAAUGAAUCCAAGAUGAAGCUAGCUAUGUCUAGUUACAAAUUAAUGUCCGAACGAUUGUUCCUCUACAAUUGUUAGAGCAAUCCCACCAUAGAUUAGUGGUCUAGAGGGAGUUGACUUGUGUCUUUUACUUUAAAAUGUAUUUAAAAAAAAAGAAGAAAAAAAAAAUGCCAAAGAACGAGACAAGACAUAUAUACCAGUGAAAAAAGCAUUUAGGCAUUCACAGUCCACUUGAUACUUCCUACAGCCUUGAACUGAACUUGCCAUGAUCCAAGAGAUUUUUUUGAAGACUAGUAGUAUAUUUUCCAAAUGUGCUGUUCUCCAUUUUGGGAGACCACAAUUUAUAAGGUGAAACAAAGGUGGAGAUUGACCCUUUGACGUCCCAAUCGAUUUGUCACAAUCCAAAGAAUAAUAGUUACUUUAGUAAAGAAGCCAGUAACCCAAAAAAGUGGGAAUAAUAUGAUGAAAACUACGAGUAGGUGAAAGAAUAAAUAAUCAAACAUAUGCUAGAAGCCUCAAAGUUUCAACGGUACUUGGUUUUGUGUAUGUUGCUGUUUUUCCACCCACUUUUGCUUUUGAUAAAUUCCCAGCUGACCUUUUUUGUUUGAUGUCAAUGGCAAGAAUAUUUGGCUCUAAGUGCUCAAACACCCACCCAUAAAAGGAAAGAAUUUAAGGGGGGGGGGGGGGGGAACAAUAUAUUGACGACUCUCCUUGAUGUCAAUCAGCUUUAAGUUUAAGGAACAAUAGCCGAUCAAUGUGACUGCUGUCAAAGUAGUUGCCAUCAGGCAUUCGAUGCUUAAUGCUGUUCUGAAUUGCCAAGACAUUUCCUCCAACCAAUUAAAAAAAAAAAAAAAAAAGAAAGUAAGAAGGAAAGACAAAUCUGAUAUUCAUGAAGUGCCAGGAAAUUUUGGCUGGCCAAGAUAAUCUCUGUGGCAAUUCGAAUUUCACAAUCAACAUUUUGGCGUGUAGAUUGGAAGGGGAAGUGUAUUGCUGGUUUCUUGUCCUGGAGAAGAUCAGCCAUUAGACAUGGGGUGACUGACUUUCGAGUUGGCCCUCCAAAGUGUUCAAGUCUCAAUUAAGCCUUUGAAACUGGAAAUCUCGUUUCAGAUAAGCCGUUCCAUCAAUUCACGCUUGGCCAAUAAUUUUAACCAAACUUUAGUAGUAAAUUAAGCAAACUCUAGCAAUAAUUCAGGGAAUUUGAAGAAAUUAACCUUUCGUCUAGAAUGAGCUAAAAUAUAGUCUGAUUUGAAUUUAAAUCCACGAAAUAUAUAUAUAUAUACUGGAAGAGAUCUGUUCUAUCUUUCUUUCUUUUUUUUUUUUUAAUUAAUUUACAUGAGAGAUUAAUAGUUUCAAGUCCCUAAAUAAUUGGUAGGAUUUGAAUUUAUCACUGGACCAAACUGUGAAUGGAUGAAAAGAGCUCAUUUGGAAUAAAAUUUCCAGUUUGGAGAGCUCGAUCGGAACUAGUUCAUUUUUAAGGGUUGGAUCCACACUUUUUGUCUACUUUAGAGCCCCGAAUCAAGAUUUAUCCCAAGAAAUAUUGUGGAAUAAGAUACUACUCGAGACAAGUUCGAAACUCCACGUGUGGAAAAAGGACUUGAGAGUCAAAUUAGAAACUCCACAGUUACCUAGUUAAUGUUGAGUUUUUUGCCAAAAUAGCACUCUAUCUAAAAAAUAUUUCUAAUGUGAUUCAUUUUCAAAUUUUAUUCCCAUAAUGAUGUUAUUUUUUUCACCUAAUUACCCUGAUUGCCAUGUAGGAUAACAAGAAAGGAAAGCUUUAACCUCGUCUAUAGUUUCCAACAUGAACUAAAAAUUUGAAUUUUUUAUUAUAAAAGCACAAAAGAUUGCGUAACUUUGAUAAUUUCCUUAUAAUUAUUUAAAAUAAAUUCUACCAUUAUUGACCUUGCUAUUAUUGGUCUCUGCACUUUUUCAAAAAUGUAUCAAAUCUAUUUCAUAUAUUUUUUCAAAAAUAUAUUUGAAAAAUACAAAAAUUGCAACGAAAAAUUGUAAGUAAUAACAAGAAAAAGUUACAAAAAUUUCAAAGUUAUCAGAUUUGUUUAUGUUAUGCUUCCUACUCCUUGAAAAAGAACUUUUACAAAAAGUAAUCAUACUGAAAUUUUCAAGUCUAACAAAUUACUAUAUAAGCAAUCAAGUAGUAUAAAAAGGCAAAGGGCAUCCUACUACGGGAAAAAGUCAUGUUGUAUGGGAAAAUAUGACAAAAAUAAGAUUUUUUUAAUUAAAUUUUAAAAAUGCAAUAAAGUUCUCAACAUCCAUAUCUUAUGCAAAGAACUAAAAAACAAGAUAUUCUGAACUGAAAAAACUAUCAUGGUAUAAUUACAAUAAAUUUGCAAUCAAUAAAUGUGUCUCAUAAUCAUUGCCAAUUGCAAGCAAAUUUGAAAUAUUUGAACCCACACUCUUGAAACUUCCUUAAGUGUUAGCAAAUAGGAAAUGGAUACAAGAAUGUCAUUAGGCAAUCCACUAAUCCUAUGUUCAGGCACUUUAAUAAUGCUAAAUUCGAGCACUUCAUUGAUCCUAUCUUCAAAAUGGGUAAGUUCUAUUUGAUCACUGCAAAUCAUAUACAGGGAAUGAGGAAAACAAAGAGCUAUCACAAGUUAGAAGUUUUUUUAUUGCAACUUGACGUUUUUCAUAGCCAGUGAUAACAUAUAUCUUGUCCAUGAGUUCAUGGUAUUUUAUCUGAUAACUUACUCGAAUGGCUUUUGGAGUAACACCUUCGUAACUAAGACCAUGUAUGCUAGUUGUCAUCCUACCAUUACCAAAAAAAAAAGAAAAAAGUAACAUUUCUACCAGCCAUUGCUACAAAAUUCAGCAGCACCCACCUACACAAAAUUAAACAAAUCAUUAAUUAAGCAAAUAUUGCCAUGCCAUCUAAGACAAGAACUACCAGUAUUUGUCAAUAAUUAGCAAGGUCAUCACUUACAUGUUAUUUAUAAUGCCACUAGAUACAAGAACUACAGGUAGAUUAAAUCGAAAUUGAGACUAGUAAAUUUCAUGCAAUGCAAAAGAAAUCUACUAAUGCAAUUAAGAUAAUGCUCAAGUUGCUCAAAAGUAACACAAACCAUCAAUUGAUGUUGAAUAAAUGUGCAAAAAUAUAUUAAGCAUAUGAGAUUAUUUGGUCAUGUGAUAUAGAAGCACUACAAAUGAACAUGCUCGUAUAUGUGGUAGAAAUCAAACAUAUUGAGCAUGAAUCUAUGUUGUUAUGUAGUUUUCCUCUUGGACAUUUUAUCAAACACACGGUAUGAGAAAUCACUUGUUAAAUAAUUAGUAUUCAAAAUUUUUUUGAAAGCUAUAGGAAUAUUCCAAAAACUACACAAUAGAAAAGAUAAAGGAAUAAUCUUCAUUUACCUUAAGAUUAUCAAUUCGGGAAGAAUAUUUUCAUCCACGAAUACAAUAUCAGGAAUGAUAGUGAAGUUUUAGAUUCUAUUAAUAUAAAUAUUGGCCUUUUAGAAUUACUUUUGACAAGAAAAAAAAUAACUAAAGGAAAUAGUUCAGAGAGAGAAUAAAGAAAGAUAUUAGAUAAAAAAGAAAGAUAGAGUGUGCCUCUAUUUCUAUUCUGCCAUAUAUGCAACCUACGUGGCAAAAAAAGAAUUAUAAAGAUAAUAAUUUUUAAAAUUAGAUUACUUUAGAUAUAUGUUUUAGAAGAAGAGUUACAAUAAACUCAGUUAACGUCCCUAUCAGUUAAAUCUGGUCUUGCGGACUUCUUGUUGCUAAUUUCUUGCAUGUUCUGUCUUAAUUGAAGAAGGGGAAAAAAGAAAUCAUCUUGUCGUCAAAUGAGCCUAGCCCAAUUUUAACUUGGGCUAUUGAGCUUGUAGUCCAUGGGGUAAAGCUACUACUCAAGUCUUUUCACCCGCUCGGUACACCACCGACGAUGUUACCAGUUUUCAUGCGCGGGUUAGAUACAUACAAUACAUGGGUGAUUUGCUUUGUCCCUAACCUUGAGAAAUAGCUCCAGCAUCAAAUUUUGGACCCUAAAAUUGCAUUUUUUUUAAAAAAAAUCUUUUUAAAAUAAACUGUUUAAAUCAGAUCAAAUAACGUGGCUCAAUCUGAAUCGCAAAUCUGAAUCACGUCUACGAUUGCCAGCGCAACCGUUCCUGUUUCUUGCAAUCAUGAAUGGAGUUAUCCACAUUAAUCUUGGAAGAGACAGUAGUGAUACUUAUGAGGCGGACGUUUGAGCUUAGUUAAUUGGUCUGAGUAACCACCAAAACCAUGUGUCCCAUAUAUGCAUGCAGGCUGAAAAUUAACAUUGUCGUAGGAUACGUUAACACUUGCAUCACAUUCCUCAAUUUCACCAACUGCUCACCUCACUUCCUGAAGUUCUGAAAUCAAACUAGGUACAAACUUUCCUUUCAAAUCUUGGAGAGCCAAUUUGUCUUCUACCCCUUCAAUUCGUGGCCGACACUGCAACAUUAGGUCAGUAUUCACCGCCAUAGUUCAUCAAUAUUUAUGCAUCCAGCUAAAACCCUUUUCUCGAUACAUGCAUCUAUUUCAAUCACACAUGUAAUUGUUCAUUAACUCAAAAAUAUUUCAAACAGGGUUGAGUUUCAUGAAGAAGAGGAUGACCCUCUCAGCCCAGCAAACACAGAAAUUGAUCAAGAGGAAGAUGAAGUUGAAGAGAUUAGCUAUGAUGAUCUCAAGAAACGGAUGUGGAAGGAUCGGCUGAAGAUGGAAAAGCUGAAAAAGACGAUGGAAAAUGAAAGGCUGCUAGCUGAAUCCCAAGCUAAAGAAGAUAUGUCAAGAAGGAAGAAAAUGUCAAGAGCUCAAGAUUCAAUUCUUAAGUCUAUGGUGAAGAUUAUGGAAGUCUGCAAUGCUCAAGGGUUUGUUUAUGGGAUUGUUCCAGAGAAGGGCAAAGCUAUGACAGGCUCAUCUGACAGUUUGCGCGAAUGGUGGAAAGGUAAGGUCAAGUUUGAUCAAAUGGCUCCAGUUGCCAUAGCCGAAUUCUUGCCUAAAAUUAUUCAAGAAGGUGGAGUUGAUCCAAAUUCGCUUUUGUAUCUUCUUCAAGGUAUACCGGAUACUAUUUUAGGCUCACUUCUUUCAGCUCUUAUGCAACACUGCGCUCCUCCCCAGCGGCGGUUUCCGUUAGAGAAUGGUUUGCCACCGCCGUGGUGGCCUACCGGGAAGGAACUCUGGUGGGGUGAUCAAGGGAUGGCGCAAGAACAAGGCGCACCACCGUAUAAGAAGCCUCAUGACCUUAAAAAGGCAUGGAAGGUGAGUGUUUUGGCUUCUGUUAUUAAGCAUAUGGCUCCAGAUUUUAACCGAUUGAGGAGGUUAGUGAGGCAGUCUAAAUGCUUGCAAGAUAAAAUGACAGCCGGAGAUACUUCUACUUGGUCCAGAAUUGUUGAUCAAGAAGAAGCCCUUUCGAAAUUGACUGAGAAAGCACUGAAGAUUUCACCAUCCGAGCAAGAUGAUCAAGAAAAGGAAAAGGAGGAGGGCCUUAAUUUGGCAAGUGUAGCAGCAAGUGAGAAAAGGAAGUGCAUGUUUGAAUGUGAGGUGAUUUUGGAUAGUUUGCUUGCUUGCCAGAACUCUGAUUGUCCACAAAGUAAUCUAAGUUCUGGAUUUUCAGACAAGAAUUCUAGGUCUGAGCAUGAAAAAACAUGCAUUUACCGCAAGAGUGAUGGUGAAAAGAAUGAUGCAGACAUUAAAUCUCAAGAAUCUAAUUCAUUUCCAGUUGGUCUUUCAAUCCACCAUCAACCAUUUCCUGAAGGACAAGUAUUGUUCACAGCAGAUCAAGUAAUGGUUAAUGAUGAUCAUCAUGGGGUGACCAGCCAACAUGAUUGGAUGGAUACCUAUCAUGAUGAAAUUGGACAACUUCCUUGGAUCAUGAUGCAUAUGGAAACAUGGACUUAAAUUUGAUUCCAUCAGAAGAAAGUCCAGUUCCACAAGAAAGUGCAACUUCGAUUUGGGAUUUGUCAUAUCAUUAAGUACAAGCGGUCAUUUUCAGCUUCUGGUCAUAUUACAGCCCUGUGCUGCAAGACUUAUUUUAGUGUUACACUGUUGGUGUCUCUCUUUCUUUAUUACAUAUUUUGUGUACCUUUUUCUCCUACUUCAUAAGUUUCUUGCUUUGUUAUUCGCUUUAAUCUUUGAAGGUUUGUUUUUACUUGGUCACAUAUUUGGAUGAUAAAUAUUCCCUAGUAUCUUUUAAUCUAUUCUUUACAUUGGAUCAUUGACUGUCAACUUAUGCCUGUAGGAGUAUAUCAUAAGAAGCUUUUGCCUUACAAUUUCCCAAGAACCUAAAAAUCUACCAGAUAUUACAAUUGAGGUGAGUCAUAAAAGCUAUGCCUCAUAGGUAUACAAUCUUCAAAGCCCAAUCUUGAGCCUGUGCAUGAAAAGCCCUUCCUAAACUUUGCUUGCUUGUUCUUCAUCUCCACCUCUACAGCAAAUACAGCACAUACAGGUCUAUGAUCUGAAAAUCUGGAUUCUCCCCGAAUAUAAGAUAACUGCUCAAUCCCAUCUCCACGCCACAAUAUUCUAUCACACCUGAAGUCCAUAAAUCUAGAAAUCAAGAAAAUGCUGAUUUGAUGUGUCAUCAAAUUCUUUUAUGCCAUUACUUGUUUUUAAAUGUGAAGGAAAAAUGGGAAGGAUACAAACCAUGCUGGGGUUCGCCUCUUUUUCUUAGAUUUUACAGUCUCUCCAGCGUAGGAAUCAGAGUUGUGUGAGUACUUGUAAGUUGGAGCAAAGAAGAUCUUCCCUUCAUGAAAACCACUAAAUACCCUGCCUGCUUCUCUCUCCAUGUUUAGCUGUGCUCCAGUAAGUUAAGACCUUGUCAGUCAACUAAAUAUAAAUGAGAGUUUAAAAUCAGAAAAAUAUGACACAAAACUUCCAGGCUAAAGCCAGCUUAGCCUAAUUAUAUUAGUAAAACUUGAAAGAACUCUAACAGAAAAGAAAGGGUCUAACAAUCGCCAAUAAUGCAACUAAUGCUCACAAUCUUCUUCUAUUUCCUUAUUCCAGUUUUGCUAGAACUUUAUUUCUAUUGUUGCAUGCAUCUCUUGCUUGUCUCUUUCUCAGAUAUAUUAGUGGAAUUUGGACAUGUUUAAAGAGUUCAAGAGCUAAUACAUUAGUAAAACCCUAUAAACUCCUAGAAUUCGAAAUGAAAAACUUGCUUUUAGAUGUUUUAUUUUCUUUUUCACUUUUGGAAAAUUCUUUUUCUUAGCUGUGGUAUAUUGUUUCUUUCUCAAAUUUGGAUGUCCAAAUUUCCAAGCGGCAUAUUUCUAGAGCUUGUAGGUUAAUUAGAUACAGUUGCCAUGACAAUUGAGCAUUAAGUGAUUGUACAAUUCAUGCACCUUAAUCACCUACGUGUUCAUAUCUAAACAAUACAGUUGUCAGAAACCUGCGAUUGUAACGAGUCUUGAUACAUCGCUGGAGUGGUGGCAUAGCUAAUGAGUCAAUAUCAUGUUAACAUACUGUGGUUAUUUUAGGCCUCAAUGCCAUAUUAGGUGUCUAGUUGACUUAGUGACGCCUAAGUCUAUUUCAAACAAAAUCUCCAAUUCAGAACUAAACUGUUGACUAAGUGAAAUUAAGGUCUCUUUCAAUCAAUAUCUCCAUUUCUAAACUAGACUAGCAAUUUCUGAGGCCACCAACCUGAUCCCUUUCCAGAAGGGAAUCCCAGUCAUUGUCCUCUAACAGCAGUCUGGUUUCUUCGUAGCUUAAAGACACCCGGUAAUUCAAGUCUCCAAGCCAGAUAAUGCGGCUGAAAAUGCAAGUUCCAAAGUCAAAAUUUUGGAUGAAAAUCCGCAAAAGAUUAUGGCUAGAAAAAUACAUUUUCUUCUAUAUUGACUUACUCGUGGUCAAUAAUUCUUUCUGGAAUUUGACGAAUCGGAUUUUUGCAAAUCCUGGGGAAUUGCGUACUCUUUAGAAUUUCAGCUACAUCAGCAUUUCUUCUGAGUUCAUCUCCUUCCUUUUCCCCAGAAGCCAAGUGACUGCAGACAAAGCAUAAGCUUGUUUGGUGCAAUGACAAGCUUACUGAUAUACAGCCCUGCAGUAAAGUACAAAAAAAGUACUCAAGAGUACUGUUUUACCAUGCAAUUGUGUCUAUCCACAAUGAAAAAAUUGGGCUGGUAUCCCUUAAAUUAAUCCUAUGAACCAUUUUUUCGAGUGCCCGCAUAAGGAAAAUAGAUGGCCAGGGGUGUAAAAGUGUCCAACUAAAUUGAAUAUUGUAGAACUUAUACUUGUUUGUUUACUUCAACGAAUUUGAAAUUGUAUUCAAGUUUAGUUUGUUUUUGUAUCAAAUCAAACUAAAAUGACUUUUUGUAAAGCCAAAUACGAGUCAAGUUUUAGCAGGUUGAAUUUUUUGAUAUGUAAGUUUUAAGAUAAAUGCUAAUUGAACCAAACUCGAGUUAAUUUAAAAUUUUACAAAACACAAUAUACUAUUUAUAUUUGACUUAAUUAGUUGGCUAAUUAAAUUUGAAGGAACUCUUACUGAACCGAACAUGAUUCUAGUAUUGACUAGUUAGAUUUGUCUUUCACCCCUAUUGAAGGCGCACCUCAUCAAAGCACGAAUUAGACCAAUGAUGAAUGAACACUAAGUUUUUUUCUUUCUUAAGGAAUACUUUGGUUCGACUCUAGCUCUUUUCAUUCUCUUUAUAUUCGCUCCCUGAGGGUUGUAGCAGUCUCAUUAAUUUAAGCAAGAGGAAUUGCUUGUCAGCACCUAGAUUGAAGAAUUGUGAAGGAGAAAGUCCCGUGCGCCAAGUGCAAUUUUAUAUACAUGGCAGUGUCGACAUCAGUAAGGUUUGUUUAAUCCUAGGAAUAGUUUAAGGGAUUUCUAGCUAGUCUUAGGAUGAUAAACUAAUAAUUUGUCUGAUAAAAUAUUUCGAUAUACAGUCCAUCAUUAACCGACCAAAGACAGCAGGGCAAGGCAAGGAGAAGAAUAAUGAUCAAGUUAAACCAACCUUAUUGCCAAGAUAACCCAUGAUUCCUCUUCCAAUGCAGGAGAUUCUGAGAUGACCAAUGUGUUGCACUAACUCUUUUCUGGCCCAAACUGAAAGAAAAAUGCCAACCAUUUGCUUGCUUGCGACAAGACGGUAACACAUUCUAGGAGAAGGAAUUUCGGCCAACUGAAGGAAUUCAUCCAUGCUAGAAUCUCCAGAGGAGAAAGGAGAAGCACAAGGGUCACUAAGCUUCCUAGGCAGCCUGUUCGAAAUUGAAGAUUCCAAGGGGCAAUUGCAAAUCUUGAGAAGGCUAUUAUCAAUUUUUAGAUUUCUGCUGAGCACUUUCAGAGAUGGCUUAUGGAAAACAUUGGAUUUUGAGUCCUUUGAGUUGUGUGAGUGCUUUGAAUUCGACCCCUCCGAAAAUGAAUCCAUAUAUUCAUGAUAUGACUUGUUCAAUGCUUGGCUUAUGAGGGCUAGCCAUUUUACUGCAGGCUCAUUGUCUUCACUAACUAAAACAUUUCCAGCACUCAAAGGAACAAUCUCCUGAAACCUGAAAUACACAUACUAUCUUAUCUUAGUAUCGAUAAUUGCACAUAAAACUCAGUAACCUAACUACUUUUUUCAAUCAAAUAUGCAGGUGAUGAAGCAUACCCUAACACAUAUAUAUCUGAAGAGCCCUCCACCUGCAAGAAAUGUUCAAGAUUUAGGCCAGGAUCAGGUGUCUUCCCUCCCACAUUCCACGUUCCAACGAAUAUCCUACAACUCACAGAGACAUUUACAACGCCUGCAACACUUUGUUCUCGUCUUUGACAAGAAAUAGUAAGAGUCAAAAAACCUGAUAUUUCUUUCUGGAAUACCUGAUGUCUUGAACAAUGGUUGAAGGUGCCAUAGGCUGGUCAAAGUAUGAGAGGUUGAGGCCUUCAAUCCGGGAGCUACUGUGCCUUUCUGGGAAUAUAUAAGAAUAUAAUAGAAUGAUUCCCACUUUGCUACGUACUAAGAAAGAAAUUACUACGAUAAUUUCCAAUGUCAAAGGCCUCUUGGUCAAUAUCAACAGUAAAAAACUACUUUCAUAUUAUCUCAGUUUCAUACUACUACAAUGAAUAUCUUGGCAAUAAUCAAUAUGCAAUAGUCUUCUGGUAGUUGAGCUACCCUAUACGCUAGCCAGCCAAGAUCAUAAAACCUACAAGAAUACUAAUUCUCCGACUACGUGUCUUUCAGCACUAGUACCAACAGUAUCAAUCACGGAUUAUCUUGUUUAAUAUGUCAUUUUCAAUACUUGAGAUGAUGUACAAUUUUUCACAGGAUGUAUAGAAGCGUGUGCAAAUUAUUCUUGUCCCUAAACAGAUUCAAUUAAUAUUGAUGAGUCACUAGGUUCAUAAUCAGUAAACAUAAAUUUCAGAAUAGAAAAGUAGGAAGGUGAUACAUAAAAUUCUUCUGUUAUGUUAUGUUGCACAUGAAGAGUACUAAAAUCUCCACUGCAUGCACCAGAAACAAUUUUAUAUAUUUUUGAUGAUCCCUACCUGAGAAAUUUUUCUGCACAGAGGGCAAUGACGCCUCUAGGAAUACUUUCAUUCUUGAUGUCAGCCUGCUAUCCAAAUCUGUCUCCAAAUAACUCAACAAGAUAUAAAGUACGAAAGAUAAAGGAAAAAAACAUUUAUUUUUUGCAUGCCUUUUUAAAACCUUGAUAUUCUCACGUAGAAUACAUUAUUAAUUUUUUAAAAAAAAAAAAAAAUUCUUGGAGAUAACAAGAGGGGGAGACUCACCUUGAUCAUUUCCAUCAAGUUGAGUAACAUCUUCUUCUGAGCUUUCUCUACUAUUUCUCUUGGAACUAAAUAUCUUUGGAAAUAUUGACUUUAUCCCAUUUCAUGAAUAUCCAAAAUACAAAUUAGAAAAGGAUAGAAGACAGAUUUUUUUUUAAAAAAAAAAUCAAGAAUACAUGCUAUUAGACAUAAUGGAAUACAAAUACAUCUGACGGCAACUUUUUUUUUAAAAAAAAGGGGUAAAUAAAGAAGAGAGGAUGUAUACCUUCUUUUUCUUUUCACCCUUGACAGAAUUUUCAGGAGUUGUGGACUUGCUUGAACAGCAGGAACUGCUGGGGUUAGUCAUGUGGGCUUUAUCCUCACCCAUGAAAGGCCUUCUUCGUGGAGAUGACAUUCAUUCUAUUGCUAAUAUUCUGCAACUGUAAAUUUUUGUAUGAUUCUCAGGUUAAUGGUCAGCAGCAACUCCUAAACAUAUGUAACUCAUGCGGUUUGGUUAGAUCAGUUUCUGUGCCAACGUUGACAGCACUCAUCAAAAUUCAAAUUUCUUGAUUUGCCUUUUGUUUGCAUGCAUUUUUGUGCUUUUGUGAUUUAUGUUUGUUAUUUGUGUUUCAGUUGAAAACCACCACCAUUUACUUAUCCUUUUCUCUUUUUCUUUUUUUUUUUUGAUUGGUUUUGGGGUGUGGUGAUUCUUCACUAUUUCUUCAAUUGGAUAUUGCUUUGAUUUCUUUUCCUUUUUCUUUUGUUUUGAUUGGCUGGACUUUUGUGUUUUUGUUCAAAGAAAUGAGAGUUUGCUGCCAAACUUUUCGGAGCCAAAUGGGAUAAGCGGUUAAUACAUGUAAAGUUAAAUAUUUACACAUGAUAGAUAGAGAGAUUGGAGUGCAUAUGGAUAUGGGAAUGUGGAAAUCAUGGACCCCAUAUACCAUACACUGAAAAUUUUCCUAAAAUUUUGUUUGUUAUCCUAAAAUUUUGCCAUUUUCCCACAAAUUUCCCAGUUUUUGUUCACAGGAAAAAGGAAAAUGGCCCUCUUCUUAUUGACUAGUAAAGCUUCCUCAUCCCCCUUUUCUUUUUGUUUUGGGUUUUUUUUUUGGGGGCUGGGGGGUUAUUUAAUAUUUCAAAAAAUGGGGAUUUAUUUAAUUUAUUCUGAGCCAGCAGGAUACAAAAAGACCAUCAUAAACUCCAAGAAAAAGGAAAAAAAAAAAAAAAGGAUGACCCCGCUUUUAGUUGCAAUGAAAAGCUACUACAAUUCGAACAGUAGGGUUCCUUCAACUCCAAAUAUGGCAAAAAUAUAUUCAUACCGUGAUAUGAAAGUCAAAGGAAUAUAGGAUCACCUCCAAGGAAGGUAACAAAAGAGAACUACCAUAUUUGCCUUGAUUUACCAAACAAAAUUUGCAGCUUUAGCUUUGAUUAGUUCACUAAAAGAGAAAUGAUGCAGUAACUACCAGUUGACUGAAACAAGAAAAUUAUGGUUGUCCAAGAGCAAAAUAGCAGUAUUGAUUUCAUAACCUGAAGACUCUGUUUGAUUAAUACAUUGAUUAUUAGCAUGUCGUUGGUCCAUGAAUUCUUUUUGAGUUUUGACAACCAUAUCUUCAUCAACAAAUUCUUUGUAACAACCAUGCAUUCAAUACCUAGCAAGAAUUCAAGGACCAUAUAUAACAGUUGAGGUUCCAAAACCAUCUGAUAAGAACAGCAAAUUUGGGCGCCCUAAUACAAGAAUAAAAGAGUUAAAACUCUCCACGAGAUUUAGAAGAAAAGAAGGAAAUACAAAAGGCCAAAAAGAGAUUUAAAAAAAAAUGGUGCUCUGUCGUACAAUUUCAUAUUCAAACAGCCUGUUGAGGCAUCAAGAGAAUGUGUGAAGGAUCUGUAGCCCAAUCAACUAAUGCAGUCGAAAUAUUGAAUAAAUAAGACUGGAGAGGUGGGGAAUUCCAUAUAAGGGAAGUUACUCCAGCUGAAGAGAUUCAUCUGCUGCAUGAGCAAAUCAAUAAAAGGAAAAGUUAACUGAAAAUUAUGAACCUGGCAUGUGUGAACAUGUUGAGAUUGAUGCUAGGCAAGUCAACAGAAAACUGAAACUCAUAAGUUACUAGACGUUUCUAUCAGUAAAACUACAUAGGAAGUCAAAUCUAUUUAGCCCUCAAAUCCUCAACAUCGAAAUUGAUGUCAAUGCUGCAUUCAACUUGUUCAAUAAAAAGGACAAACGAAACUCUUUUGCUACAUCCCAACAACACGGCUUGACGUUCUCUACAUGUCAUGCUGCGAAGAUAUGGUAGUCUUUUGCUACUAAUAGUAUCUAUAUCUACCAAAGAAAUUAUGAAAUCAAACUAUAGCAACCACAUGUCAAAUAAAUACAUCAUUGUUUGAUCAGCUGAGGCGUGAACAAAAAUCAAAGGCCAAAUGAAGAGACAGACAAUACCUCAGUCAAAACCAUUAGUGUCACAUUUCAUCUAACUGUUGUCUAUAUAAUGCCAAGCUCUGCAGAAAGAAAGUUUCACAAGUGUCAAGGUGCCAGUUAACUGUUGCAUUCGACAGCAUAAUGUCAUGUGUUACGUAAAAUAACGGAAGAUGAAAAUAUACUUCCAAAUCUGGGUUCAAAAACAGCGAUUUAACUGGUCAGAAGCUAUCUUAUGAUACUGCACAUGGUAUAUAUGAAACACAUAUUACUACCAGUAACUGAAUUGAAUCUUCCCAUAUCAAAAAAUAAUUUUCUUUACAAAGUAAUAUAUUCAUUACCUUCUAUAGGCCGAAUGUGCUAAUUCUCAAUUUAUGUGCUGAACAAGGGAAAUUGAAGAUCUAAUCUAUAUGGCCACUUAAAAUCAUUCAAUGAAGCCUACCUAAACCAAAUACUUCCAAGAAAGGACUAGCACUUAUGUAUGAACUGGACCAUUUUAGUGAUCAACCAUCCAUAUUAACAUGGAACCAACAGUAAGGAGGUGGUGUGCAAGAAUGCCAUGUAGAUUGAUAUUGGGCACCAAUGUGCCACAGUAGAAAGGUUCAAGAGCAGUCUUGUACAAGAAAAGAGUAAGAAUGUUGGAUAUGGAGGUAAAAGACAGGGGAAAGAAUAGAAGAGAGUUCAGGAGAUGAAUAUUUAAUGGGUGAGAAACAGAGUAACUUUCUCACUAUCUCUAGCAUUUGCGGCCCCCUAAAUCCCUUUGGCCUAUCUGAAAACUUUCUAAUUCCAAGAUAAAGUGCCAGUUGAGGUAGUAGCCUGAAAGUGCAUUUUUUACACAGAGGAGAACAGUAAAAACCAUAUGAAUAUGAUUGAUAAAUGGAAAACAAAAACCGUGCCAAAAACCAUGAUAAAUGCAAAGAGCACAUUGUGUACAUGCAUGUAAGGGCAUGUAUAUGACAGUCUACUGCUGACAUAAAAGGUUAUCAAUUCGAUUAACAAAUGCUAUAUUUGCUGCUCAGUAUUUAUGGUGUUCAGUCACCAUUUGGUAAUGUGCAACUCUAGAAAUGUAACUGUUACUUCACUUUUUCCCUUUCUGGGAACCUCUGCAAAGCAUAAAAAAGAAAAGCUAAAGAUAAAUUCCUCACAGAGUUUGAAGCUUAAACACAAAGAGGGCUUUGCACUUAAGAUCAAUUUUGAUUAACAACAGCACAUCUGCAGUAUCAACAAUCCAGUGUAAGCCUAUUAGCUUUGUAGAAAACCACAGACUUUCUAAGGGUAUUUCUCUCAGUGGAUUGACACUUGAACGCUAACCUGAUGAAAAUUACUUCACAGCAAAAUUGGGGUAAUCAAUAUUAAAAAAGAGAGAAAGAAAGUAUAUACCUCAGUAUAAGCAUAAACACCAACCUCUGUAGAUCCCAAGGGGCUGCCCCUCCUUAUGAAUUUUCCUUCUUUAUAUAUGUAUAGCAUAGGUACCCCAGUUGACAAUUCUAAGUCAAUGACCUGUCACAAGAAACUAAAUGAGCCACAACUAAGAUAAAUUACAUGGUGAGCAAAUCUAUUAGAAAGCAUUUUAUAGGUCUGAGGCUGUAGAAAUAAAAAAUAUUACCUCCUGAGAAGUUAGUUUAUCAAGAUACAUAAUCAUGGAUCUCAGGGAAUUUGCAUGAGCCACCACCAUUACAUGUUUUCCAAUCAAAAGUUGAGGUUCAAUCUGCAAACUAGAUGUUAUUAGCAUUCAGGUAUUUAGAAGUACAAGUCUUGAAUGCCAAACAGAACAAUGUCAUGGUUAAGUAUCUACAUUUCUAUCAAGCAUAGACACCAUGGCUUACAUGCUCUCUAAAGAAAGUAACUGCUCUCUUCAAGCACAUCUCCAAACUCUCACCAUUAGGGGGCCGUACAUCAUAACUUCUACGCCAUUUCUGAACCUGAUCUUUCCCAUAUUGUUCAGCUGUCUUCUGCUUGUUAAAACCCUGAAGAUCACCAUACCUGGAAAUAGUCUACCAGUGUCACAUUGAGCUGAAAUCUUUCAGUGGAUGUUGAAGGCUAAAAAUGAGCACAAAAUAAAUAUAGCAUUACAUUCUUUCAUUCAGCUGCCAUGCUUUGAUAAUUGGAAUGGUUUGAUUCUGGGUUUCCUCACUGUGAAUUUGACUCCACAUUUCAGCUUGUUCAUUCUCAUUAUGAAUAAUUAUGGGCACCUGGAAACUAUAAGUAGGUUAACUACCAAAGAAGCAGGAUGGCUGUUUCAAACUGUGAAAAGAAAAGGAAGAUAAAGCCUUCGAUUCUGAUUUCAAUGCGAAAUUUACACUUUUAGUAUGUUUUAAUCAAUAGUAACGGGAAUUUCCUCGCCUGAUUUAUCCCUUGUUCUCUUGAAAAUAUCUUCCAUAUUCCCCUUUUCUCUCUCUCUCUCUCUCACACACACACACACACUCACUCACACACGCGCGCGCACCUUCACACCCACACCUACACCCCACACAAUCACACACUCAGAAAUGUACAAACACUAAGUGUCAACCUCCCAUUUGGGUGUCAACAUUGCAUUGAUCCAUGACAAACCACUAAUUGGUGCACAACAAUCUGGUCUUCAGAUUCUAAGUUGCAAUAACAGUUGGAACAGCAGCAAAUAGUUCCAAGUUGAAAUUAUCUUCCUAGCCACCAAUUAAAUCAAUUUUUUGAAUAGCCUUUUAAAGUAUCACCCAAUAAAUUUAAAAUCUAUUCUAAAUUGGAAACAACCAAAAGUUGUCAUAAAAAUCAGUCAUUACAGUUCUCUUAGGAUGCUGAACAAGUUUUAGUUAAAGGAACAGGGUCUCUUUCUUCUCUACUUUGAUAAUUGCAAAACUAAUCACACGAACAUUGGAUGAAAAAGGCACUUCAAAGCUUGACACUAAUCAAACGCCAAAGUACAGCGUCAAGCUUAAGAAAUGAAAGGAACAUUAAAAGAAAAUUGGCAAGUCCAAUCAAAGAUCUAGCAGGAGCAUUGAGAAUUAGAGUUCUGUGGAAAAAUUAUUAUGUCUUCUGCAUGAAAAUGUUGCAGCACCUAUAUUAAAGCAAAAAGAGGUUGAGAUUACUGCUAUACAACUUUUGAACAAGGACGCAGUUUUCAUGUAAAUGUGCAUAGCAAUGCUUGUCAGCAAGUGCAUACUAAUCAAUAUAGGAAUCAAAACAUUCAAGCAUUGAGUAAUAGAAGAUGUAAAUUUCUUACACUAUGCAAAAAUACAUACUUUCAUGCAGUGGUGUUCCGUGAGAGCAAGCAUAGCAGUCAUUUGAGAACGAACCAAAGCUGAUGUGUAGACAAUAUCUAGGGGCAUUUUGCUGAUUCUUUUACCAGCUUCAAUUGCUUCUUCUACUCCUCUUUCUGUCAAUGGUACAUCAACACAACCAGUAAACAGGUUCUUCUCAUUCCACAUUGAUUCUCCAUGUCGAAUCAAUAUCAGAACAGACUCAUCUGUGAAACAGUGCUACCUUAAGUAUAACAAUGCAAAGAGCACCACCAGUACAAACUUAGGAUAUGUGAAAUGAAGAACGACUUAGCAUAAUAUUCACUCACUUUCUUUUUUCAGGGAAUCAUUCGUUUCAGUUGGUGAGGAGGCUAAAAUCGGAUAUGGAGCAGAGGAACAAGAAUUUGAUGCACAAGAUACCACUUUUUGGGACUUAAUAGUUCUCCAAUAUUCUUUUCUCCAGAAUGGUUCUUCAUUUUGUAUAAUUUUCGACAUUAAUCUCAAACAAGAACUAUGACAUCCCCGAUGGCCAGCAAAAUCCCUUCCACCUCCACUUUCACCACCAUUUCCAUGGACCAAACGGACAUUAGUAGCUUGAUAAAAAGCAACAUUACUCAUUCUGAUCAUCCAGUUACCCCUUUAACCAUAAUAAAUUAACUCAAUUAGUUUUUAUUUUAAGAAAAAAACUUGAUGCAUCCCAUCAUCUAUAUAAAAGGCAAUCAUCAUUUCUAUCUAUAGAAGUAUUUAGCAUACAAACUGUUUGAGUUCGAGAAUCAUUUUUAAAAAAAAAGUUACUAUAAAACCCUCGUCCCAUAUGCAUCAAGAACAUUACUAAACUAAUACUCUAUCUAUAUUUUUAACAAUAUAAGCUAAACAUAGCUUAUAGUCUAGCUAUCCAAAUAAAGCACAGAACAUUUUUCAAGAAUCCCACAUCAAUAUGAUCAUGGGCAAUCAAAAACCCCCAAAAGAAACAGAAAAAAAAAGUCUACAAAUUAAAGUCAAACCAUAUAUUAUUUGUAAUAAAUGUAGCAAAAAAGAAUGAACCAUAUAUAAUAAUGCAUGAUCAGAAUCCAUGGAAGCAGAAGCAGUAGAAAGUGAAAUCAAAUGAAGCUUACCUUUUACCGUAUGAUGGGACUUGGAGAUUUUAAAAGAAUGGAUUUGGUAGAGCUGAGGAAAAAAAAAAAAAAUUUUGUUUUCCCAACGCUGAUGGAGGGAAAAGACAAAGUGCGAGCAUCGCAGUUCUUAUGCCUAUUUGCUAUUUACGGUUUUGGUGCUGUAAUUAUGUUAUGAUUCACUUUUGUCCCCAAAAAAAAGAAUUAAAUUUUGUAAAAGGGACGUGGGUGUGAUUUUGGAUUAUUUAUUAUUGGCAAUAUUUGUAUUAACUUGUAUACCUAAAAAAGAUUUUAAAAAAAAAAGCAUAUUUUUUCUGACAUGAAUCAUUUAUUAAUUUAUGCCCUUUAGAUGAUGGAUUCAGUCACAUGUUGUUAAGGGAUUUCUUAUGUUUUAUUGAAAUGUUAUGAGCUAAAGUUUCUAGUUGUAGAACUUCUGUAUUAGUUGGUCCCUAAUUGGGUUCAUGCUGUUCUGAGAGGGACAAUACUUACAAAAUGUCAAAAUCUUAUGAUUUUUUCUUGGGCUUUUAUGCAUUUUGUGUGCUAUAAAGUUUAUAGGAUUUUACAAGAAAAUGAUUAGUUGGAAAGAAUAUUUGAACAAUUACUUCUAAUUACCCAUUUUCUUUCAAAAUUUCUUUUUGUCAAUCUGAUUUUGGGUAAAAGUGAUUUUCACUUCUUUCCUCCCUUGAACUGUACUGAGCUCAUUGAUGAUUGAAUUGAGUAUAUGGAGUUUCUCAAAGCCAAUAGAAGUAGUUUACUGCAGGUGACAAGACCUAUUACCGAACGUAUAAUAUCAUAUAAAGCAAAAUGUGACAAGGGAUUGCUCCCCAGUUCUUGACAAUUCAAUCCACAACACCUACUGGCCUCCUUGAUCAUGCUCAAGAGAUAAAAGUGGUAAUUCUAAUAACUAUAGAUCUUCAUGCAGUCAGAAACAUAUGAGACAGUUAAUGUGUAAUUAGUUUGAUCCAUAUUGGCAACAUUUUGACUUGUAUUGUUCUUAAAUAAUUGCUCAUGAUGGCAAUUUUUAUCAUGCAUAGAGUGAAAUGAAAAUGGUGCAAUAGUCAGUUCAAUACUUGGAACUGCAUUCUUUUGAUAGCUUAAACUAGAUUAAAGUUGGUACAAAAAAAUUUGUUGCUACAAAAGAGUUGACAAGUUGUCAGGUUAGACAACAUAAUACAAUCCUAUCCACUAUCCAGCACCAAAUUAUAUUUACUAGUUGUAUACAACCAUUUAUUUGCCCAUUCCAGUAUUGCAGAGUGCAGACAUAUAUAUAAAUUUUUUCCCCUUGUAACAUGGAUAUUAAGGUUUUGGAAGUGUAGAUGGUAUCUCCAUUCUACCUUCUAACAUCAAGAUCACAUUUCUCAUUGAAGGGCGGAGAUGAGGAGCUUCUUGAAUGCAUAAAAAUCCAACCUUGAGGAACCUUUCCAGGGACAUCAAUUCUAUUUCUUCAUCUCUGAUGAGCUUUUUGAGCUCGUUUGUCACCAAGCAUUUAUAAGCCCAGCUGGCUAGUUGGACCUCAUCUGGGGUUGAAACAGUGUUAUCCACAUUACUUCUGCAACAGAUGAUCUCAAGCAAAACUAUUCCAUAGCUGUAAACAUCUAUCUUCUCUGAUGUCAAGGCAUUGUUCUGCCAUUCAGGUGCCAGGUAGCCUCUCACAGCUCUAUCAACGGCACUAAGGAUUCCAUUUUGAGUUGGCAUCAAAAGCCUUGCAGUUUCAAAAUUGCAAAGCUUAGCAGUCCAGGAAUUGUUAACUUGUAUGUUCUGAGGCCUGAUGCUGCAAUGGACAAUACAGGGCUCACACUCUUCAUGCAAGUAAGAUAUCCCAAGUGCUACGUCCAACGCCAACUUCUUUCUCUGUUCCCAAGUAGGUCUAGUUUCUUCUUGGAAGAGAACAUCAGCCAAGGACCCUUUGCUCAUGAACUCGUAUACAAGAAGCUUUUUAGUGCCCUCUAAGCAAAAGCCAAGCAAUUGAAUCACGUUUCUGUGAUAAAUUCGUCCAAUUGCAGUCAUUUCAGCUAUGAAAUCUCUUCCUCCUUCCUGUUCACAGUUUUCCUGUCUUUUGACAGCAACUAUCUUGCUAUCCUCCAAUAAGGUUCCCCUGUAAACCUUUCCGAAGGAAGUAGAGCUUAACUCAUCCUUGAAACCGUCUGUUGCUCUCUCAAGCUCAUUGUAGGAAAAGGAUCGAAGAGUAAACUCUUUAUUAAGGCCCAAGUUUUUAAUUUCUAACAGCUUGUGAUAUUGCUGAACCCCUUUUCUGAAGAGGAAGAAGCUAAAGAUAGCAAAGAGGGUGAACAAAAAUGCAAGCAGACCAAGGGAUAAGCCAAUAAUUGCAAUUAAUCUCCUCCUCUUGCUUUUAUUCCGGAUCUCCCUUUUGGGGUGCUCAUGAGUCAAAGCUGAAAGAUCCAUAGUCCUAUGGACGAGCGUGAAAUUUGUGGACGGGCUUCCAUCUACUGAUGCAUACAGUAGCGGCAGCUUAUACUUCUUGCAGUCUCCUUCUGUACUAUACAGAACAGCCCAGCAGUUGCAAUCAACCAGGCAAGCAUUCUGACAAUCCCAAUCAACGGCAGAAAAUUCAGAAUAUGGGUGGCCCCCCAACAUGAUGCCCUUCAUAAUUGUGAAAUUGUAGGUGAGUUCCUGAAGAUUUUGCCAACAAAAUCCAUGGUUAACAAAGUCUCUGUAGCAUCCGAGGAAGGCCAUGUUUGGGUCGAUAUAAUUGAAUCCAGGAAAGCAAGUACAAUUUGCUGUGCCACCACUCCUAGAGCAGAAGCUGUUGACACCACAGAAACCACUGGCUUGGCAUGGGUUUUCAAAACCUGACCAUUCUACAGAAAUAGUCUGGUUAUUGCUGCUGUUGCGGAACCUAUGUGAGUAUAUCCUGAAAUUCCCAUCAGCAUCAAGAGUUGCACGAUGGAUUGCCGCUGUUUCAUUUCUGUUAUUCAAUACAAGGCCUUCAUCAGUGAAAUUUAGCCAUUCUGAUGAGUCGUUUAAACCGGUAGCCGCGAAUGUCCAGUACAGUAUAUUUUUGCUGUUUAUUGGAUAAGCAGCAAGAAAAUAGUCCUCCACUACAAGACCGAACCUCCCACUUGAUUGGUCUGAUGAUGAAAAGCUAGAGACUAAUUCUGUGCCAGAAGGCAGAUAUUGACCGCCUAAAAUGGUAUCAGUAGGAUACUUGUAACUCUCCCACAAGGUAUGAGUUUCGUUAUGGAUAACUAAGUUUCCAGAGUCAAACAAAGAGGCUGAAACCGCAGGAGAGAGUUGGUCUUCGAAUUCUGCAUUGAUUUUCUUCUGAGUGUCUGGAGUAGUUAAAAGCCAGCCUUGUCUAGUGAACCAAAGAUAGGCAUUCGAGGAGAUUGGUGGAUCAUCUCUAUUUGCAGUCCAAACAGUAGUAUUUGUAGGGGUACCAAUCAACCAUAUCCCAACUGCAUAUCCAUUCCCUUUCGGAUAGAAGCCGAAACCAAAAAGUCCAGAAGGAGAUAGCCACGAAGAAGGAUAAGAAUUUGGGAAGAGUUUCGUUCCUAUGCUUAUGUUUUGGCUAAGCAAUUGAGCUUUCACAGCAACUAAUGAAUGUAGUAAGCAGAAGAUAACCAGUAUUACGAAUAAAUUUGCCAUGAUAUGGAACCAGAUUGAGCUGAAACCAAGGUAAAUUUGGUUGUUCACUCAGUCUUUAUAGCUAGUUGUAUAAUCAAGAAAAUUUUGCAAACUCAAAUCAACAAACGGCUGUUGUAAUGAUGCACCCUCUCGCCUUCUCAAAUUGAUUACUCACACUAUUUAGUCAAAUUGACUUUUCCACCAGACUGUUUUUCGUUGAAUUAUGAAAAAAUGAUUUUGAAAAAGUUUCGAUGUUAUGACCGAAAGAAAAACGAUAAAGUAUGUCAAAAGUCGCCAACAUUAACUUUUCAUGCGCAGACAAUAUAGUAAAUUUUUUACGCUAAUAGUUUUGGAUGUAUGUUAUAUGCAUAUAAUUUAAAUUUAUUAACUCGUUUGGCAAAUGAAUUUUUUGGAUAUUUGUCUAAAAUUUCACUGUAACUUACUGUAGAAGUUAUAGGAAAAAUUUUUGAAUUGUGCAAAUUUUUGAGUAUUUUGAAGUGUAGAGUUUAAAAAUUUUGAAGAGUUUUUUGAGAUUAAUAUAGUUAAAAUUGUUAAAAAACUUGUAGAGCACAAAUUUAGCCAAAAAUUUGUUUACCAAACAGGCCCUAUUAUGUUACAUGGUAUGAUUUAAACUUAUUUGUGUAAAACAAAUUAUAGUAUGGUUUAUUUAAGUGGGGAAGUCAUUUUCCCUAACAUGUUCAUUCCAAAUUUUUCUUGAAAUUCCAUUCCUUAAACAAAUUUACUUCUCGUUUGAUACGUGAGAAUACUCGAAAUGGAAAGACCUUUCCAUUCAAAAUAUAUUUUCACCCAGAAUGGCAGGGAAAGAAAUUUAUUAUUCUAGGGUUUGGUAAACAAGUUAGCAUAGCAUAUUUACUCAAUUUUCAAUAUUUGGAACAAUCAAUACUUGGAUGUUAGAAUGGAAUAUAUUAAAUACAAAUUUGACUUAAUUGUCCUUGAUUAGUUAUAAGACGUAAUAUGUCUUAUUACUUUUUGUUUUAUUUGUUCUAUAGCAUCUGUCUAUUUACAUGAAAUCUUAAUAUUUUUACUUCAAAAUAAAUGUGAAUUGAUAUAUGAAAUUUUCUACUUGAUUCAUUCUAAUAUAUAGAUUUUUAAGUUAAAAUUUUGCAGUUACUAGUAAUAUAAUUAGCAACGUAAAAUCAAUUUUUCAAACAAUAAAGUAUCUUAAAACAUUUGUUUCUUACUGCAAAAGAAAAAAAUAUUUUAAAUACAAGGAAAAUUAAAUAAUAUAAAAAAUUACAUUCAAAUAUUAUUUAAACUUACAAAUAAUCUAAAAUAUCAUGAUUAUAAAGAUUUAUAAAGAUAAAUUUGACAUUUACUAUAUAAGCACUUUAGAAUAAAGGUAAAAAGGGUUUUCCUAAUCCCUCGUUUGGUAUAUAGAAAAGGCUUGAAAAGGAAAGCCCUUUUCUACUUAUCCCUAUCCCUCAUGUGGUGGAGGUAACAGAAUCCGAGAAGGUGCAUUAUAAUUUUUCACAAUAAUGAUGAAGACAAUCAAUGGCUCAGUUAAAAUGUAGACAAUUAUUUUUACAAUUCUAAACACUUUUCGAUUUCUAUUAAAUUUCUCCAUGUUUCCGUGAUUUGUUUUUCCUUUUCACCGCACAUAUAAUGAGUGUGCUUUUAAUAGAAGAUUAUUUGGAAAAUUUUUUCCCAAGAAUCAAAAUGUUCACAUUUGAAUUGCUAUUUUUAGGAAUUUUUGUAGAAAAAUGUAAUAUAGUGAUUUUGAUAUAUGUGAGAUAAAAAUGUGAUUGAAAAUUAUGUUCAUGAAAAAUGUAAAAAAAAUUUCUGCAAAAAAUCAGAAUCUAAGUAAGGAAUCCAUCCCCUGAGCAAUUAUUAAAGCAACUUUUGAUAACAUUCCAGUAAUCUCUAAUAGCCUCUUACAACUACUUACAUGCACUCUUUUUCAAUACUGUAUAUGAUGGGAUAGGUUUCCUUUUGGUAUAAACAAUAUAUUUUACUUAAUAUUUUAUCACAAUUACCCUCUAAAGUUAAUUUUCAAACUACUUAAGUUCCUUCUUUUAAUCUACCAUGAUUUUAAAUAUAAUAGUUUUCUAAAUAAAAAGAGUAGUAUUUAUUGAUUUUUGAAAAAAAAAAUACAUACAUACUCUAACAUAGUUCUACAUAUAAUACCUUAUUGUAAAAAAAAAAAUUUAUUAUAUAUUUUUGGAAUAAGCACACUCGUAGAGUGUGCCAAAAGCACUAGUGAAAUAUUAUUCCGGUGUUGAGGCAUUACAUUGUAUUUCAGGGUGAUUUCUCUUUGGGUACGUUUGGUUCCCCAUAGAAUUGGAGUUUAGAAUUGGAAUUGGAGCUCCAAUUUCAAUUCUUGUGUUUGGGUACUAUCUUUCCCGUAGAAUUAUAAUUGAAUUACAAUUCCAAAUCGAUCGAAUUCCAUGAUUCCAAUUCUUUGGCUGGACCAAAGAAUUUCAAUUCCAAUUCCACAACUAAACGGGUCCACGCGCGGAUCUAGUAUGGGUCAAAAAUUAAAAUCGGGUCAAAAGAUAUUGGCACCCCUUUCUUCCCGUCUAACUCACCAUUUUCCUCAGCCGUUAGGGCUCUGCUCUCCACCAUCACUUCCACCUGCAAUCCUAAUACCUUACCUUUCCCACCACCGUCUCCCCCCUGCCUUCCAUUUCUCUGGCGACUUCCUCCAUCCUUCGCCACUCUCGCCACUGUCCACCCCAAAUUUCAAACACAUUUAGGGCUUGUGAGACACCCAGGAAGGAUAAUGCUUGUGAGACACCCAGAGGGAUCGAGAAUUGCUGAACCAAAUUGCACCCAGCAAAGCAAACAAGCCUAGAUCUCUCCAAGUCAUCAUUUCAGGCCUCGAUACUGUUCACCAUAACCAUUCCAGCCUCCGCUCAAACGGGUUAGUCAUGUAUCUGUAUACGUAUAAUCUACGGACCUCUGAAUCCGUUGUUAUUUUCGUUUGAAUCGAUUAGAUUUAAGUAUUCAAGCUUUCAUUUCAUCCGUCAUAUCAGUUCUGAACUAAGAUCGGAAUCGGGAAGUCGUUCGCAUAUUUUUGUAUGUUUUAGAAGUUUGUGUUUGGGAUCGAAUUCGGUUGGAGAUUGAAAGUCAUAAUUGCAAAUUUUUUGUUGGGGCACUUCUAUCCGAGUUCUACUGCCAUAAGAUCUGUGACCGCCUUUUUUCUUUUGCAGUUUUUAUCUGGGCCUCCGUUGGUAUUUCUGGGCACCUCAGUUCAUCUUGAAGCUGCAGAAACUUCCUGGUUUCUUCCCAGAUUCCCAACAAAAAGGCGAAAGAGCUGCUUGGUAAGCGUCUUUAACUCUCCCUAUUUACAUACUUCGCUUAUUUUUCUCCUCCUUUCGCUACUCCUGUCUUGUGAGUUAAAUUAUAUUCAAGUCUCAUCAAAUCUUUCCUUUUGAUGAGACUCAUAGAAGGCUUUAGAAGGAUUCUGAUAUUUCUCGUAGCCAAUUAGUCUUGUUUUCAGAAAGAAAGCUUUGUCGGGACUUUUCUGUUUCUUUCUUUUGUUGCAGUGUGCUGGAAAAUCCUUACCAGUAGAAGCUUUAAGUCACUAGAAUAAGUUUAGGACAUCUCCAAACUAUUUUGUGCACAUAAGUGAUGAUCUUAGCAACAUCUCCAAAUUGCUUUUGCAAAAAGGUUCCGUCCAAAUAAGUCAGCAUAAGUUUUGCAUUUAACAUAUGUAUGGAUUUUUCUGGUGCAUAUUUGCCUCUCACUUUUAGUUCUAUAAUGCAGUGGCUGUUGAAUCUAUUCUUAAGAACAUGACAUUGUGAUGUUUUUCUGGUGCAUAUUUGCCUUAGAUAUGGCAUCUGAAGCAACAUCUCAGUCAAAAGGGAAAGGCAAAGGGUAUUUCACUUGGACUCCUGAAAUGGAUCAUGUAAUGGGCACCUGUUUUAUUGACCAAAUGAACCAAGGAAACAAAUUGGAUGGUAAAUGUGCAUGGAAAACAGUAGCCUACACCGCAGUAAUGAAUGCUUUAUUCGAUAAACUCAAUAUAUCUGUGACAAAGGCUAAUAUUAUAUCUCGUUUCAAGACAUGGGAGAAAUACUAUGACAUCUUAUACCCACUGCUCCAGUCCUGUAACUCUGGGUCUACGAUAAUAUGGGACUACUCUAGAGGUAGAACUGAUGUUCGUGAUGAGGAUGUUUGGAAUGCUCGAGUAAGUGAGAAUCCAAAAAUUCUUCCUUAUAGAAAAAAAUUGUGGUUGAAAAUUGGGAGGAUAUCUGUAUACUGUUUUCACAAGAUCGUGCAAAUGGAGAGGGUGCCCAAACUGUUUUUGAGGCUAAUGUUGAAACUGAAGUUGAAGAGUCUGCUAAUGUAGAGGAAUCAUUUGAGACUGAUUCACGAUCUUUAGAAGAUGAAGUUAUGAAUGCACUGCUAGCUCGACAACGGUCAAAAUCAAAAGCUUCAUCUUCAACAAAUGAUCGUGGCACAAAGAGAAAACUAACGAGCUCUCAAGUACUUUACAAAGUGUUGGGACGAAUGGCAGAUUCACUGGAUAAGUACUUAAAUUCAGAAUGCUCAAAAGUUACAACAAAAAUGGUGGAAGACGAGUUAUCUAAAAUUGAAUUGGAUAGAUUUUAAUUGUUGAAGGGUAUUGACUUACUUAUGAAUGACAGGACAAAGUAUGACACUCUUUCUGGUCUCGGAGAUGACUUAAAAAAGGAUUGGCUAUUGAUGCACAUUGGUAAUUGAUUUUUUUUGGGGUAAUCUCCAGUUGAAGUUGUUUUUGUAGAAGAAGUUGAGCUGAUUGCUGGAAGCCCAAGUAGAGCAAGUUGAAGUUGUUACUACUCCAUCAUGUAUCCAUGACUUUUUAAAUUCUGAUGAGUUCUUUGUUUUUUAUGUAAUGGAUCAAAACAAGAUUAUAGAAAGAUUCGAGGGAGUAUUUCAGCUAUUUUCUAUCUGUUUUUGAGAUGAUAAGAAUGGAACAUUGGAUCUUUUGUCUGAUGAAAUAGCAUUUUUGAUAUUGAGAUUAACAUAGCUGCCUGUGUUGAUGCCCUGACUUGUCCUUUAGCUGCAUGAACCUUUGCAUAUGAGUAUCAACAUGUAUUAAAAGGGUGAUAAAAUAAGCUUUGGCAGUGCUUCGUCUUUUUCAUGCAGUCAGUGGCUCCUUUACUAGCCAUUGGAUCCUUAUUUUUUUGAAUUACUGCUUGUAGUUCGCAAUAAAAAAAAUAGUGUCCAGUGUAACUCAAGCAUGUUGGAUUUUUUUUUCUUUUUGGUCCUUCUACCUUUCUCCACACCCUUUUCCACCAUCAACUGUUAGAUUCAGAAUUCGAAUAGUAAACUGAAUUUAUUUGUUGAGAAUGUUAAAGGCACAAAUUGGUUCUUUCUUUUAAAUCUUUAGUAAAAAUUAGCUAAAUGUAAGAAAAAAAGAAAUUAUUAUAUAAAAAAAGAAAAAAAAAGAAAAAUUUUAUGUAAACAAAUGUUUCAUUGAAAACAAUUCUAAUUCCUAAUGAAUUUUUCUCUCAUACAAACAAAAAAUUUGGAAUUUCAAAUAAAUUCCGUAACAAUUCUAUGCAUUUCCCAAACGAAAGAAUUGAAAUGACUUGGAAUUCCAAUUCAUAGAAUUCCAAUUCUAUAGAAUCUCAAUUCUAAUUCAAUUCUAAUUCUGUAGAACCAAACAUACCCUUUGUGUAAUUGUAGCUAUUGCUAUUUUUUUGGGCUAUAUAGAAUUACUAUUACCUAUGAAAGAAAUUAUGAAAUACUGCCGUCCACAACGAUCUAGUUUAUUGUGACAUAUAUUUCAUUUUUUGACUUGUAUUGCUAUUGAGGUAGACAUUUGCGAUUUUUCCAAUGUAUCCAGAAACCCAGAAGUUUCUUGGCUUGCGAUUUUUCCAAUUUAUCCAGAAACCUAGAAGUUUCUUGGCUUUUCGCUCAAGGAGUACUUCUUGCACAUACUUCUUUGAUUUCUUGCUAGUAAACUUCGUUGUAUAUUCAUGCUAUUUUUUUUUUGCACUAAAUAAAAUUCCUAUUAUCUGUGAAAGAAAAAAGUAUGACACAUUUAUUGCAAUACACAUUGACACCAUCUAAUGUGAUAGAUAUUUCCUUUUUUUGAUAGCAAUUGAGGUAGAUGUUUGCUAUUUUUCUAAUGUGAAGUUUCAUGGCUUUUAUGCUUGAUUUUCAAGAAUUAAUGUCUAAGAUUUUUGUUCCGGUAACUUUAAUGUAGUUGACUGGAGUAUUUAGAAUUCUAGACAGAAGUUGUUUACAUUUUGACUGAGUCAUUGAUUGUUUUCAUCAUAUAAAAUUGAAAUGCACUUCCUCGGUGAUUGUUUUCAUCAUUAUUGUGAAAAAUUGUUAUUGUGGAAAAUUAAAAUGCACUUUUUUGGUGAUUGUCUUUGUCAUUAUUGUGGAAAAUUGUAAUGCACUUUCUCGGAAAAAUUGUAAUGCACUUUCUCGGUGAUUGUCAUUGUCUUUGUCAUUAUUGUGGAAAAUUGUAAUGCACUUUCUCGGUGAUUGUCUUCGUCAUUAUUGUGGAAAAUUGUAUCGCACUUCCUUGGUGAUUGUCUUGAUGAUUAUUGUGAAAAAUUGUAAUGCACUUCCUCGGUGAUUGCCUUCAUCAUAAAUGUGAUUAUUGUGAAAAAUUGUAAUGCAUCACCUACAUUGAACAACGGUAUUUUAAAGAAAUUAAAAGAAAUUAUAAUUUUCUUUAAUUACAAUUUAUCCAAAUAUAUUUGCUUACAUCACCAUUACAAUUUCCAAUAUACCUUUUUAUCUUCCCAAUUACCUUUUUAUCUCACAUGCAUCACAUCACAAAAAGUGCUACAGUAAAAAUAUCUCAAAUAAUUUAUAAUCCAAACACACUAAUUUCAAUUAAAAAAUGAACUAUAAUUUGGAACAGACAGAAAAAGAAAACAAGACUAUCAAAGUGGAAUGAAAUGAGUAAUACACUUUCUGGAUGAUUGUUUUCAUCGUUAUUGUGGAAAAUUGUAAUGCACUUUCUCAGUGAUUGUCUUCAUCAUUAUUGUAGAAAAUUGUUGUUGUGGAAAAUUGUAAUGCACUUUCUCGGUGAUUGUCAUCGUCUUUGUCAUUAUUGUGGAAAAUUGUAAUGCACUUUCUCGAAAAUUGUAAUGCACUUUCUCGGUGAUUGUCAUUGUCUUUGUCGUCAUUGUCUUUGUCAUUAUUGUGGAAAAUUGUAAUGCACUUUCUCGAAAAUUGUAAUGCACUUUUUCGGUGAUUGUCAUCGUCUUUGUCAUUAUUGUGGAAAAUUGUAAUGCAUUUUCUCAAAAAUUGUAAUGCACUUUUUCGAAAAUUGUAAUGCACUUUUUCGGUGAUUGUCAUUGUCUUUGUCAUUAUUGCGGAAAAUUGCAAUGCACUUUCUCGGUGAUUGUUUUCGUUAUUAUUGUGGAAAAUUGUAUUGCACUUCCUUGGUGAUUGUCUUCAUCAUUAUUGUGAAAAAUUGUAAUGCAUUUCUUUGGUAAUUGUCUUUAUCAUUAUCGUGAAAAAUUAUAAUCCUCUUCAUCAAUUGUCCUCAUUAUUAUUGUCAAAAAUUGUAAUGCACUUCCUCGAUGAUUGUCUUCAUCAUUAUUGUGAAAUAUUGUUAUUGUGAAAAAUUGUACUCCCUCUAUUCAAUUUUGAUAGUUCUAUUUUUUUCACACAAUUUAAGAAAAAGUAGUUAACUUUGUUAGAAAAAUAAGUUUAGAUUGCCAUUUUUCUAAAAUACCCUUACAUUAAAUAAAGUACAACUUUAUAUCAAUUAUUCAUGGAAUAUGUAUGGUUAACUAUGAGAAUAUGGAUGGUUUUACAAAUUUUCACUCAUGAUUUGUAGAAAAUGAUGACAUCGUUUGUUUCCCUACUGAUAUAAAUAAAUUUGAAAGAAUAACAAAGUUGGCUUUUCAUAUAUCAAUCUAUUUUGAAAAAUCUAAAUGUGUUAAAUAGAAUAGGUUAACAAUCUAAUAUUAAAAAAGAUAAUUUAUACUAAUAACAACCCACAUUGAAUAAGAAAAUUAAAAGAUAACUAUAUUUUGCAUUUGAAAAAUGAACUACAAUUUGAGACAGACGAAAAAAGAAAACAAAAUUAUCAAAGUAGGACAAAAGAAGUAAUACGAUUUCUCAGUGAUUGUUUUCAUCAUUAUUGUGGAAAAUUGUAAUGCACUUCCUCAGUGAUUGUCAUCAUCAUUAUUGUAGAAAAUUGUUAUUGUGAAAAAUUGUAAUGCACUUUCUCGGUGAUUGUCUACGUCAUUAUUGUGAAAAAUUGUAAUGCACUUCAUCAAUGGCUUAGUCAAGAUGUAGACAACUUCUGUUUACAAUUCUAAACAGUCCUCGGUUUCUAUUAAACUUGGCCAUGUUUCCGUGGUUUUUUUUUAUCCCCCUCUUUCCACCACACAAAUAAUGAGUGUGCUUUGUUUCUAAAACCAAAAAUGCCACAUUUAAGUGACUUGUUUCUAAAAAAUUCAUGUGGGUAUGCUGUGCACCCAUCUGGUCCGGUGGUGAUUCACUCCCCUCCGAGUUACUCCUAAACCUCCUUAAGUCCGCCCCCUCCCCCUUAGUGUAGGAUAGAUUAGGUUUAUCGUCUCCGGAAAAAAAAAAUAAUGAGUAUGCUUUGAUAGAAGAUUAUUUGGAAAAAAUUUUCCCAAAAAUCAGAAUGCUCUUCUUGAAUGCAUCCUGAGCUAUUAUUAAAGCACUUUUGAGUUUUGAUAACAUUCCAAUAAUCCCUAAUGACCUCUCUUGCAGUUUUUUUCUUGCUACUCCUGACAUUGGCUUCCAAAGAUCUUGCCGGAGCUCAACAGCAGGUGGUGUGCCAGUAUUCCACUAUUUCAGCAUCCGAUCAGUCAACUAUAUGGCUCUCACCUUCCAGUCGAUUUGCGUUCGGAUUCUUUCAAGAAGGAUCAGGUUUUAAAGUUGGAAUUUGGUUAGUGGAUAACUCAAAUGAUACUAUUGUUUGGACAGCCACUAGAGAUGAUGCAGCAGUAUCAUCAAAUGCAAUUCUCCAGUUCACCAGUGGAAGGAUCAUGUUGGCAAGCCCUGGGAAUGAGAAUAGGUUUAUUACUCCCGAGCAGAAUGAGCAACCCAAGUGUCCCUCCAUGCUAGACUCUGGAAAUCUUGUUAUUUACAAUGAACAAGAUCAAGUUAUCUGGCGGAGUUUCGACUUCCCUACAGAUACCAUCUUAGAGGACCAAUUUCUGCACCAUGACCAUCGACUAUAUUCUAAUCUUUCUUCAACCAAUCACUCAACUGGAAGAUACAGUCUAGUUGCGCAAUCUGAUGGAAAUCUUGUUGCUUAUCCUGCCAAGGCAGGAGACACUGUUGAAAGUGCCUAUUGGAGUUCUGACACUGACAUGAGUACCCCGCCGCGAAGCCUAUCUACCAACUAGAUAAGAGAACAAUUGGAGUUCUCAAUUGAAUGCCAAGUGUCACUAUAUUGUUAGAGAAAGGAGUUUUUUUCUGGUUUUUUCUACCAAAAAGUGAGAAAUGUCUAUUUCAGGCAUGGUCUUCAAAUGCAAAGUCUUAAUAGUUCCUUACUAUUUUGGGGCUAAUUGGUAACAAUGGUUUAAUUAUUUGCAUUUGUUCCUUUUGUUUGGUUUUUAAUUGAUGUGAAAGGUCAAUUGAAUCCUUUUAUGAAAACUAGCUCAUUAAAUAGUUGCUAACUAUUUAGGGUUAUUUUUGUAUAUUUGAAAAUAUUUCUUUUAUAAUUUUCUGAUCAAGUGCAAAUAAUUGUAAACUAUUUGUGGGCCCUUUUAUCACAUGGGCUGUUUUGAAUUAGAUUAUAUGAUUCAUUAUAUAAUUAAUAUAAAUUAAUGGAGUUAUGUCCGUUAGAAGUAAUGUACUUGGCCGUUAUGACUGAUGUUAAAGUUAGUCAACACCACCUUAAUUGUCUUAUUAGUUAUUGAACUUCCUUCUUUCUUCAUUUAGCCAGAAUUCCCUUCCCCUUCUUUUCUGUCGAAUAGCCUUUUUCUUUCUCUCAAUCGAAUAGGUCGCUAUACCAUAUCGGCCUGCAAAAUUUUCAGUUUCUUACCGAAUCCUUCAACAACUAAAUUGUCCUUCAAUUUGAUUUCAACCCAGAAAAUCCUCCACACGCACGUGAAUUCUUGGCCUGCCCCAAAAAUUAGGUCAGUAAAAUUCCUUUUCCCCAAAAUCUACGGCCCUGCAAAAUCUUCGAUUUUCUGUCAAUUCCUCGAGCAAUUAACUGUACUUCCUUUCGAUUGUCUCUAAAAAAGUCGCCCAAUUGACGUCAAUUCUUCUUUUGCCCCAAAAAACAGUUCACUGAUAUCUCUUUUUCCCCAAAAUCAGCUCAUUUUAGGGAUGCAUGUUCUACCGACGUAUGCUGUGAUGCAGCUUUCAAAAUGGGCUGUAUUCCCAGCCCUAUAUAUACUUUUGUUUCUCAGUUUUGCCGCAGCAGACGAGCGAAGAAAAUCUAGGUAUUUUCUAUUCUCUGUCUUUUUAUUUCAGCCUGCAUUUUUUUACUUUGAUGAAUGUUCUUACCUUCUGUUCAUUUAUUAUUGCCUUCCGUUAAUUAAAGACUGCCAUGUCUUUUAUAUUAUGCAUAAAAGAAUAAUUAUGAUGGUAAUUUUUCGAUUAGCUUACCUUUACUUUUUCCUCUCUUUUUAUAUUCAUUUCAAAUGCUGCCGGACUUUUGCCAACAUUCAGGCGAGCAAAAAAAAUAUAGGUAUGUUUCUGUUUUCUCACCUUCUGAUUUGAACUGCAAUUUUUUCCCAUUGUUGUUGCCUGUGUUUAUUGCUUUCUUUUAAUUAUAAGAAAUGCGAUGUGUUUGAUGUUAUGCUAUGAUGCUUUACUUUUGCCUCUGUUUUUAAUUUCAAAUGUUGCAUGAUGCUGUUAGUUGUUUAUCUAUUCAAUAAUUACAUCAUUUAGUAUCAUUGUACUUCGGGUUAUUAAGGUUGCCAUUUUAUAUAUAUUAGUUAGUUUUAGCUAUUCUAGGAUGCUUUGAUUCUGUCAUUUUGUGUGCCUUUGGUUUAGUAUCUUGCUUUAUUUAUAGUAAAAUUAGGUUUUGAUCUUCUGUGUUUCAAAAUGAAGAAAAAAAGAAAAUUUAGUUCAGGUUUUAGAUUGAUAGAUGAGAUGUUUGAUGAUUCCCUUGAUUUAGCAAUGUUGGAAAGAAACAAAAGGAGAAACUUAAAUAUGCUGACUGAGCAUAUGAAGUUUACUCUUGAUUCUUCUGUUUCUCAACCAUAUUCUCCUAUUGUAAUGAACUGUGAGAAUGACAUCCGUGAAAAGCACUCUGUUGAAACAUGUGCUUCACAAAAUCACAUCGAUAGGAAUGUAAUUCUGCCAAAUGACUGCAGGGGUAAAAAUGUUUACUUACCUCCAAAAAAAACUGGAGAAGUUCAUUAUACCUCUGAUUCUACUGACAAGCAUUGUUUGCCUACAAUGAAUUCAUCUUUAAUCAACCUCUGUGGUGUUGAACCUGCUGCUUUGUCACAAGUGAACUUCAAUGAGGAACCAUUUGUUACAGAAAAUCAGUUUCAGAGUGAACAAGUUGCAAACGUUAAAGAAAUAAUUAGCUAUUCUGAAAUAUCAAAUCUAGAUAUGGAACUAGCUAAUUAUAUUCCUCCCCUUUCUGUGAAUAGCCAUAUACCUAUAAUAGGUAGUACAUCUGUUAUAUCUUAUGAUAAGAACCCUCUUGACUAUUCUGAAAUAUAUCAUGAUAAGAGCCCUCUUGACUAUUCUGAAAUAUAUCAUGAAGGGGUGAUAAAUAAGAAAGCAUAUAGGAGGCAGGCCUACUUUAGAUGGAAACAGAAAAAAUUGAGAGGAAAAUCUAGAUCAAUUGGUCCUUAUGAUAAGAGCCCUCUUGAAUAUUCUGAAAUAUAUCAUGGAGAGGUAAUAAAUAAAAAAGAAUAUAGGAGACUGGCCUACUUUAGAUGGAAAAACAAAAGAUUGAGAGCAAAAUCUAAAUCUAUUGCUUCUACAAAUAUAAUUGAAAAUCGAACAAGCAUCAUGAUUGUGAAUGAGUGUUCCUCAGCUGUUGAUGUUCAGCGUACUUCUCGAUCUCAUUCCAAACAUCGCAGAUCAUCUCUGAAAAAAACUCAACCAGGUCUAUAGUUAAUAUUUUUAAGUUUUCUAAUAUCUGUUUUUAAACUAGCAUUAAAAUCAAUUGAAUGAUUUGACUACUAAGUUCUCUAAAAUAAUUAUAUUUUAGGAAGAGGAUGCAAAACAGGAAGAGCUUUGUUGGAUAUAAUUCCUGACAAAGCUGAUAUCCUACCACGCCAACUAGAUUGUCCUCAUUGUGGAGCGAAGAAGUUUUUUUCUGAGACAGCAUAUUUUUGUUGCCAAGAUGGUGAAGUUAUUUUAGCUCAAAAUAAAAUUCCAGAUAUCUUUAAAGAGCUAUUGACUUCAUCUUCACAAGAGGCACAAUCUUUUAGAGCUCUUAUUAGAACGUAUAAUAAUCAUUUUGGAUUCACUUCCUUCGGUGUUAAAGCUGAUCUGACUCUCUCAAAAAGGAAUAAAGGAAUUUACACUUUUAGAAUUCAAGGACAAAUAUAUCAUUUUCUGAAUGAUUUCAAUUCAACCAAUGAUCAUAGUAAUAAUUUACAGUUAUAUUUCAAUGAUUUUGAAACUGAAGUAAGCAAUCGAUUAGCAGCUUGUCCUAGACUAUCUGAAAGUGUGAUUAGAAAAAUUAUGCAAGUUCUUGAGUCUAAUCCAUAUGCAAAAUUUUUUAGAAAUUUGAGAGAGGUACCUAAUUUAGAUAACUACUACAUUGUGUUAAAAACUCUGCCCGGUGUUGAUCAAAGAGUUUAUAAUAGACCGACAACUUCACAAGUUGCUGGUUUGUGGGUUGAGGGGCAAGAAAAUGGAGAAACCGGCAGGCGUGAUAUUAGAGUUCAUACCCAUAGUGGUGCUUCAAAAAAUAUACAGUACUAUUAUGGAUGUUAUGAUCCACUCCAAUAUCCAAUACUUUUUCCUUUUGGUGAUCUUGGCUGGCACCAAGGAAUACCAAAGAAAGGAGCAAAAGUAUAUGGAAGAAAGAGGAAAAAAAAACAACCUGUAGCAGAUUUGAUUUCCCCUGCAAAUGCUGCUACAGCAGAACAAUUAAUCCAAAAUGAAGAACAUGGUUAGUAUAAUAAAUAUAUGCCAUGAUCUUUCAUUUUACCUAUUUAAUAUUUAUGAUUACACAUUUAAUAAUGUACUAUUAUUUUUUCCACAGCAAUGGAAAACAUACAUGAAGAUCCAAAUUUUGUGUCCCUUCGAGAAUACUAUUGUUAUAAACUUCAGAUUAGGGACAAUGAUGAAUCUUGGCUAUUACAUUUUGCUCGCCUCCUACAACAAUAUAUUGUUGAUCAAUAUGUGAAGCUUGAGACACAAAGACUUGACUUCUAUAGAUUACAACAAGAGGAAAUUAGGAGAGAGUUCUUGAAAGGCAUAAUAGAUGCUUUAGGAUCAGGUGAGAGUCAAGCAUCUAAUGUUGGCCAACGUAUCAUAUUACCGCCAUCAUUUAUUGGAGGGCCGAGAAAUAUGAGACGUAAAUACAUGGAUGCAAUGACAUUAGUACAGAAGUAUGGUAAACCGGAUAUAUUUCUGACCAUGACUUGCAAUCCUAAUUGGCCAGAAAUAAAAGAACACUUAAUAGACAAAGAAGAGGCACAAAACAGACCAGAUUUGCUUGCUAGAGUAUUUCAUGCUAAGUUAGAACAGCUUAGAGAUGAACUUUUGAAAAAAUGCAUCUUCGGUGAAGUGGCAGCUUACACUUAUGUCAUUGAAUACCAAAAACGUGGACUGCCACAUGCACAUUUCUUGCUAAUUUUAAAGUCAAAAUUCAAGAUGUAUACCCCUGAAGAAUAUGAUAAAAUUGUUUGUGCCGAGAUACCAAAUAAAGAGAAAAAUGAACAUCUAUAUAAUUUGGUCAUUAAACAUAUGCUUCAUGGACCAUGUGGUUCACUUGAUCCAACAAAUGUAUGCAUGAGAAAAAAUGGAACUUGCAAGAAUAAUUUUCCUAAAAAUUUCUGUGAGGAAACUAUCCAAACUCUUAAUGCAUAUCCUGAAUAUCGAAGGAGAGAUGAUGGAGUUCAAAUUAAGAUUAAAUCAACUCUUUUAGAUAACAGAUGGGUUGUACCAUACAAUCCAUAUCUUUUGGCUAAAUUUGAUUGUCAUCUUAAUGUUGAAAUAUGCUCUACAAUUAAAGCAGUCAAAUACAUUUACAAGUAUAUCUAUAAAGGUCAUGAUAGAACUAGCUUCUCUGUAGUGAAUAAUAAAUCUGAUUCAGAAAUUGAUGAAAUUAAACAAUAUGUAUCAGCUAGGUGGGUUUCUCCACCUGAGGCAGCAUGGAGAAUUUUUAGAUUCUGUAUGAGUGAAAUAAAGCCACCUAUUAUUCAUUUACAAUUACAUUUGGAGAAUUAUCAGCCAAUGAGUUUCAAAAAAACAGCUAAUCUUCAAAAUGUUGUCGAUAACUAUCAUUUGAAAAAAACAAUGCUCACUGAAUUUUUUUACAUGAAUAGGACAGAUAAAGCAGCUCAGGAUCUAAAUUGUACUUAUGUAGAAUUUCCUGAUCAUUUUGUCUGGUUACCUAAGCAAAAAUACUGGAAAUUGAGAGAAAGAGGUGAAUCAAUAGGUCGAAUAAUGACUGCUCAUCCUUCCGAAGGAGAACGAUACUACUUGAGAUUACUCUUAUCAAAGGUUAGAUGUCCAAUUUCAUUUGAUGACCUAAGAACCUUUAAUGGAGUUCAAGUAGAAACGUUCCAAGAAGCAGCAUUAAUUCGAGGCUUGUUACAAAAUGAUAACAGCCAAGAAAUUUGUUUACAAGAAGCCUCACUUUUUCAUAUGCCCUAUGAAAUGAGGAGACUCUUUGCAACACUUUUGGUUUAUUCUUGCCCUAAUGACCCAAAGGCAUUGUGGCAAAAUUUUGAAUCUUCUAUGUCAGAAGAUUUUGCCAAAUGUUCAGCAAUGACAUCUACACAAGUGAAAAGAAAUGUUUUGCAACAAAUUGAUGGAUUUUUGCAAUCGAUGGGAAAAAGUAUACAUUUGUAUAAUUUGAUUCCCAUUGGAUUCUCUUAUGAAAAUAUAGACAAUGAAACUCGAGAAUUAAGAGCAGAAAGAAACAUUGUCAUUUCAGAUAUUGACUUAAAUUCAAUUGAGCUACUCAAUGAAAAACAGAAAAAAGCAUUCGUAGUCAUAUCUGAGAGAAUUUACUCAGAUAGACCUGGUGUUUUUUUCAUUGACGGUUCAGGUGGUACUGGAAAAACAUUUCUCUAUAGAGCUUUGUUAGCUGAUGUUAGAUCUAAAGGCUAUCUUGCUCUUGCUACAGCUACAUCAGGAAUUGCAGCUUCCAUUUUACCAGGUGGAAGGACUGCACAUUCCAGAUUUAAAAUUCCAAUAGAUAUCUUUGAUGGUGCAACAUGUCGGGUCAGUAAACAAACUUCUUUAGCUGCAAUGAUCAAAGAAGCAAAACUCAUAAUCUGGGAUGAAGCACCAAUGGCUAAAAAGGCAGCAAUUGAAGCUUUAGAUGAUCUCUUAAGAGAUUUAAUGAAUUCAGAAGAAAUAUUUGGGGGAAAGGUAGUUGUACUUGGAGGAGAUUUUAGACAAACAUUGCCAGUUGUUAGAAAAGGAACAAAAGCUGAAAUGAUAAAUGCAUGUUUGAUAAAUUCUCCAUUAUGGCACAAAUUAGAGAAAUUGCAAUUAAUAGAGAACAUGAGAGCAAAAUUAGAUCCUUCAUUCACGCAGUUUCUUUUAAGAAUUGGAGAUGGGACACAAGAAACAAAUGAAAAUGACAUAGUAAAACUUCCAUCUUCAAUUAUAGUUAACUAUAAUAAUGAGACUGAUGCAAUUGAAAAGCUAAUCAAUAUUGUGUAUCCUGAAUUUAAAGAUCCUUCAAACAAACUGUAUUGCUCACAAAAUAGAGCAAUUCUAACUACAAAGAAUAACUUUGUAGAUGAAAUAAAUGAUCAAUUGAUCAAAAAAUUUCCAGGAGAUUUGACUGAGUACCUAAGCUAUGAUGAAACACUGAAUGAAAAUCAUCAAUCUGAAUAUAUUGAUCUUUUGAAUACUCUUACGCCAAGCAAUUUACCUCCACAUAGGUUACUCUUAAAAUCGAAUGCCCCAAUAAUUCUUUUAAGAAAUCUUGAUCCUGCUGAAGGAUUAUGCAAUGGAACUAGACUGAUAAUAAAGAGUUUGAGCAAGAAUGUUAUUUGUGCUAAAAUUGCAGUUGGUGAUUUUUGUGGCAAAGAAGUUUUUAUACAUAGAAUUUCCUUGCAGCCACCAAGUGAUGAACAAUAUCCAGUUCCAUAUAAGAGAACACAAUUUCCAAUUCGUUUGUGCUUUGCAAUGACAAUAAAUAAAGCACAAGGCCAAACUUUAGAUUUUGUUGGUAUUUAUUUGAAAGAACCUGUAUUUUCACAUGGCCAAUUAUAUGUUGCACUUUCAAGAGCCAAAACAGCUUCGGCUGUAAAAGUACUUAUUAGGCCAGCUUAUUUUGAUGAAUCAUGCACUGAUCAUACUAAAAAUAUAGUAUAUAAAGAAGUUCUCGAAGCUUCCCAGAUUGUAUUAUCAGGUUUUAAUAUUCAUGCCCUUUUUUUCAACUUUAUUAUUUUGUUUAAUUCACUAUCUAAUUUCUGUACAAAUACAGCCCAUCAUGCCUAGACAUAUAUCUUCCAUACUAAACAUUCAGAAAGGAGCAGAAAAGUGGACUGUUCUGGCACAAGUUGUUCACAGAGGCCACAGUCAAUUAACUCGUGAAGUUCCACCUAGGCGAAUUAUGCGUUUUCUGCUCACAGAUACUGAGGUCAGCAAUUCUUUCCUAUCUCUCUGGUCAUUAAUUAAAUUCAUAGAUGAGAAUAUUUUAGAUUCUGUAAACGAACAUUUUAUGAUUUGCCUCUUCAUUACCACAUGGUUGAAAACUUGCUGAAGCUGAGAAUAAGGAUGAUUAGCACCACUUUUGACAUAGUAAUCAGUGAAUUUAGAACUCUGACAUCUUACUUAUAUCAACCUGCUCCUGAAGGGAAUCUUGCUGUUCAUUAAGUUUUUCUAUCCAGCUAGCAAGUAGGCUUUGUUGGUCCAGAAGAAAAAGAAGAAUGUUCUCAAUCUGUGACAUCAAAAAAAAAAAAGAGUAUCUGGUCAAGAGUAGCUCCUGCUCCAUGAACUUCCUUCGAACCCCCCCCCCACAAAAAAAAAACCCAAUAAUAUGGGAAUAACCUCCUUAUCAGCAUAUUUAGAUACAUGUUUGUUAUCAAGUGUUGGUUACCUUAUACUGAAGUUAUUCUAGCAUUACAAACCUUUGUUAUGAGCAUAUCACAAACAUAUACAUAUGCAAUUCCAGUUUACCCUGUUACAUUAUUGCUUAUUACAUCUCACAAAAAACACACACACUAAACAGAUAAUGAAAUUGUAAAAGCUUAAGGGGAGGAAAAAUUGCAUAUUUCUGCUGGUCAUCAAGACAGGCUGUACCAGACAGCAUGUGGGAGUAUAAUAUGUUAAUUAUCUAAAUUUGCACAGGACUAAUGAACUGGAACAAUUGACAUACUUAUGGCAGUUAACCUUUUCAUCUAUACGAACCAUAGUUUCAUCUACUGAUAUCAGAACUAUAGUUUGAUUACAAGUGAAUACUCGCCUAACUAUUAAAGUAUUCAUUUCUAUAAUUUUAAUUUCUGUGUCAUAAAUAUAAUGUUAGCCAAAAACAUUAUAGUUAUAGCUAUAACUCAUAAUAUAUAUAUAACUAACUUUUCCUAAUCCUAAUCAGGGAACAAAAGUUUCUGUUGUGACUUAUGAACAACACAUCAAGACCUUCAGCAAAUUUCUGCAGCCUUAUCAACGAUAUUAUGUUUCUAAUGCAAUUGUGGUUCCUGCUGACCCAACAUACAGAGUUGGGACUUAUGAAUGCUCCUGGAUUUUGAACUACAAGACUUUGAUUGAAAAUUAUGCUGAACCUGUGCCACCUAUGUUGCCUUGCAUAUUUGAGCUGACAAACUUCUCUGAUCUGCACAAAUAUGCUGAUUCAGAUAACCUUUGCAGUAAUUUUUGUUACAUUAUUUUUUAAUUUACUUGACAGUCAUUUGACAUUUUAUUGAUUUCUUACAUUCAUAUCAACACUUUUGUUUCAGAUAUUAGAGGCUUUGUCAUUCACGCAUUCCCAAUAAAGCAGCUAGAUCCAGAUUCUAUUUCUAGAGACAUUAUAAUAGUGAAUGAAGAGUAAUCAAACCUGAAUACUACUAUUUUAUUAACUCAUUUUAGAUUAAUGGCAGUAGUUAUAAUUUAUUUGUUAUACCUGACAGGAAGAAACUCAUGCUUAUGACUCUCUGGAAUGAAUUUGAACAUGAUGAAGGGAGCAAAAUAGCAGACAUGAUUAGCACUGCCCCUCUAAUCAUAGCUCUCCGUGUUAAAGUGACCACAUUCAAUAGUAAAUUUUUCAUUAUGCAUUAUGAUUUCUUUAUUGUGUGUCUUUUAAGUACUUAAUGUUAUAAUUACUAAACCAUUUCAUCAUUUUUACAGCUUUGUCAUUCACUACAAGGUAUUCAUCUGGAAUUCUGAUCAGUCCUCCACUCCCAGAUGAGCUAUCUUUGAGGCAAUGGUAAGUAUAAUUUUCUUUUUAGUUUUUUCCAUAAAUUAUCAACUUAUUUUACUGAUAAAUUUUGUAUUUGUCCUCUGAACAUAAUCAUUCAGGUUCAGCUUGAACAAGGAAGAAAUCAGGAAUUUGCUUGAUGCUAAAACAUACAAUGAUGCAAGCUAUUUACUUCCUCCUCCAAAUGAAGAAGAUAUCAAAGCAAUCAGCAAUUUUCAGGCAUCAUUUCCAGUUGUAAGUACUAUAUUGUUAUUCUACAAUUUUGCUUAAAUAUAACUAUUUAUUAUCUAAUUCACAUUCAAAUACCAUUCACGGUUGCCUGCCUCAGCAAAAGGCAGCUUGGGUGCAAGGAACUGUCAAACUUGCAUAUGGAUUCAGCAAAUAUUGGACUACAGCUUGUGCGAAUUGUCACAAAAUUGUGAAUGCUGACAUUGACUGGAUCAUCCACUGUCCUUCAUGCAAACAGCAAACUGAAGUUGAACUCAGGUUAGAUCAUUAACUUAUGCUUCUAAAUUAAAUAUUAUUCGCAUUUGUUGCCAUAUAUUAAUCUUAAUUCCUCCACUCAAUUAAAGGGCUCGCAUUCCAAUUAUUAUAACUGAUGCUUCGAGCUCAAUACACUGCAUUAUAUCUGGAGAAGAUGCUGGAAAAUUGAUUGAGUUCACUCCAUUGCAGCUUAAACAAGCACAAGAAGAUGUAAGUAUGAAUUUUCUGUCUUAUAUUCAGGCAUAAAUACAUAUAUACAUAGAAAGGAAUUCACUGAACCUAACUAAAAAAAUUUUCUGGUGCAGGGCUUUCAAAUAGAUACUGAACUUAAUGAUGCUUUGAAAAAGUACACAGUGGUCUGUUUUCUGAAAUCCUAUGAGACUCCUUUCCAAGGUCAACUGCAGAGAAAGAAUACUGUCAUCAAAGCUUAUACUGCAGCUGAACUAUCAGACCGUCCCCUUCCUCUAGAACUUCCAGAAAACACUCAAGUUUUUUCUGAACUUGGCAGUUCAUCAGCAAGGCAUGCAGAAACAUCAUCAAAAGAUCAAUUGUUCACACCAAGCACAAAGUUGGUACUUGAAGAAAUUGCUGGAGCCAGUUCUUACAAAGACAGCCAGACAUCUGCAACCAGUGGAGCAAAAAGAAGCCUUGAAUUUCCAGAAGAUUUACCAGCAGACACAGAUCCUAAACAACCAACAAAGGCUGCUGAAGAGUUUGCCAAAGAACCUGCAAAAUCGUAUGGUCCACCUGCAAAUAUCAAAGACAGUCCAGCCAAGAAACCUAAAGCAAAGGAAGACUGAUAUGCCUGAUUUCUGCACUUUUGUUAUAUCUUUUGUUCAUUGCCUUGAUGACUAUCUUGAUUGCUUAGACAAUGCCUUUUGAAUUAUAUUAUGAUCCAUUAUUCUUUUGACUUAGAAAGUAAUGGAUCCUAAUAUAUUUAUGAAUGGUUUAACCAUCAAUGUUGUAACUCAAUAGGCAAUGAAGCCUAUUAAAACCCCCUAAUAUGUAACUGUGGGUUGAACUGAAGUGUGUGUUUUGCUAAGACAUGAAUGUUUGAGUUUAUGUAAUCUAUGGUUGUGAUUUGCAUAUUCAUUGUUUACCUCUUCAUUUUUCAGUUGGUCAUAUCAUAUAUAUACAUAUAUGAUCCUGAUUGCCCAGCUGUGAUUAAGUUGUUUGAUCAUAUCAGUGGGUAGGCCGUGCAAUGCACGGCCAGAAUCAUGCUAGUACCUCAAUAGCAGUGGCGCAUUUUUGCUGGUUAAUGACACGAAUUUAUCAACAGUCAGUAACAAGGACUUGUCUAUAAUCAGCUUCAAUUCAUCUUUGCAACAAGACAAUGUAAUCUUGCGAUUAAACCUUGGUUUUGAUGGAAAUUUAGUCUUGUAUUCUCAUUCCCUGAAUACAACCAACAAAUCAACAACUGUGGUGUGGCAAGCAAUUGAUGAUUUGUGUGAUGUGAGCAGUUUUUGUGGUGUCAACGCCUAUUGCACCAGGUCCAACAAUCAAUCCCAUUGCAAUUGUCUACCAGGUACCGAGAAGGUAGCAGAUUUCCCCAGUGGCUGUCAAAGGAACUCCACUGGAGCAGUGUGCAUUGGGGGGAAAGAAUACGGUGACAUUUACGACUUUACAGCUCUGAAAGAUCUCAGGUUCAAAGAUGUCCCUUACUUUGCAAAGAUGUUAGGGAAAGAAGAAUGCCUUCAAUCUUGCUUGGAGGACUGUGAUUGUGAUGCGGCAUUUUUUGACGAGUCACAGGACUUAUGUCAGAAAUAUGCUCUUCCAUUAAGCUACAGUAGGAUUGAUAGUAUUAAUACUAAUGUCUCAAUCUCAGCUUUUUUCAAAGUGAAGAAAAUCAAUGGAGGAGCAAGAGAUGGAUAUGUUAAACCCCCGUGGACGCUGAUUCUUGGCUUAAGUUUAGGAUCUUUUGCCUAUUCAAGCGCUGCUCUUGCCCUCUCUGGCAUUUUCAUAUUCAAAUUCCGCCUUAUGAAGUACAAGAAGCUUUUGGACACAGGAAGAACUGGCUUGACUAAGGAAUUCACCAUUGGAGUAUUCACUUAUAAUGAGCUGAAGAGGGCAACUAACGGCUUUAAGAAAGAGAAAGAGUUAGGAAAGGGCUCUUUUGGGGCAGUCUAUAAAGGAACUUUUGACAAUAGAAGCUUUGUGGCAGUAAAAAGAUUGGAGAAGGUAGUUGAGGAGGGCGAGAGGGAGUUCAAAGCAGAAAUGAGGGUGAUUGGCAGAGCUCGUCACAAAAAUUUGGUUCGUUUGCUUGGCUUCUGCGCCGAGGGCUCCAAGAGGCUUUUGGUAUACGAAUACAUGAGCCAUGGUUCCCUCGCAGAUCUUCUCUUCCGGACAAAGGGGCGCCUAGACUGGAAUGAGAGAGUCAGGAUAGCACUUGACGUUGCAAGAGGGAUCUGCUAUCUCCACCAGGGAUGUGAAGCUCCUAUAAUACAUUGUGACAUAAAGCCUCAGAACAUUUUGCUUGAUGAAUCCUGGACAGCUAAAAUCAGUGACUUCGGCUUGGCUAAGUUGCUCCAACCGGAUCAAACAAGAACCUUCACAGGAGAAAGGGGAACAUUGGGAUACAUGGCACCAGAAUGGAAGACAAAAACUGCCAUCACUCUGAAGGUUGAUAUCUAUAGUUAUGGGAUUGUUUUGCUGGAAAUUAUAUGCCGCAGAAGACACAUUCAAGUCAAUUUAUCACGACCAGAAGAAACUCACCUACCAUCCUGGGCUUAUAACUGCUUUGCAGCCAGGGAGCUGGACAAACUUAUGGAUGAUGAUUCUACGGAUAAGAAUGCAUUCGAGAGAAUGGUCCUGGUGGCACUAUGGUGUAUUCAAGAUGAACCAGCUCUUCGCCCAUCAUUGAAGAAUAUUAUCUCAAUGUUGGAAGGGAUAACUGAUGUGAGUAUUCCCCCAUGUCCAAUGUCUUAACAGCUUGUAAAGUCCAGAUCAAAAUUUAAUCGACAACAUCCCGGUCAGAAUCCUUUUUCUCAAUGUUUUGGUGAAUUGGCUUGAUGAAAUUCCUACUGUGUUGUCCUCCUUUAUCAGUUCCCUGCGGUAGCUAUUAUUGUUUCCACAAAUUUGUGAAGACGUGUAUGUAAGGCAAGUAUAACUUGUUUACUUCAGUUUUUUGCUCAUAUUGUGAUUGUUUACACACUUGUUGGCAGCACUUAACGAAACCAGUUGCUGGCCCUCUUAUCCUUUUUAAUUUAAGAACAUCAGUGUUAUCUGUGCACUGAAUUAAUUGAUGAAACAUCGAGCCAAAUCCUAGGCUGAGAAAUUUUGGUCAAAUAAUGCCCAGAAAAUGUACAAAACCACAGAAUCCCAAUGCACCAGGGGAAAAUAGAGAUGAACAUUGAGGGAAGAGGGUCUAGCAGAAAAGAAAAGAAAAAACUUUCUGAAUUUGGACAUGAUAAAAUGGUCUAGCCAGAACUAUGACCAACUCAAAGGUUUGAAAUGAUUCAGCAGAAUUUGAUCUUUUAUUCCAACCUUCAAAAGUAUGAAAAAGCUUAUGCUAAAACUCAAUCAGCAAUCAGCAAGAGGGAACAAAGAGAAAAUAUAAAGAAACAAUCCACUACUGGAAAGCCACAACAGAAUGACCAUGUAAUGAAGCAUUAAAUUAAUCAUAAUAGAGUUAAACGACACAACACCAUCAUCCAAGAACAAUGGAAAACAAAUUCUAUAGAUGCCAAUAGCACCAAAUUAUCACAACAACGUAUCAGUCCUACUAAGAUUGUAGCAAAAAUAAAGGCUAAUCAAAAGAGCAAUAUGACAUUGGCCUUAAUCUGACUCCGCAUCCUGAUAUCGCUGUAGGAUUUGUGGGCAUCUAG
rnacentral:lncRNA from 1 species